rnacentral:lncRNA from 1 species
CGAUGUUGAACUCGUAGAAGGUGACAUGAGCGGCCGUGAUGAGGAUCUCCUCAAUGAAUGGAUCGAUUCGCUGAAGAACUGUCAGGUUUAGGAGUUUUGUGCUCUGCUGGUCCAGAUUAGGCAUCAAUUUUCCGUUCUGCGACAUUUUUCAUAGUCCUUUUGGGCUUCUGCCCCGAUCACUAGCCCUCAGGUUUUUCUGUGAGCUCUCGCUCUUUUGUAAAUAAAGUGUUUGAUGAGAUAGCCGAAAGAGAGUGAAAGAGUUGAACAGCCAAACAAGGUGAGGUGAACAGUUUCGGACUGAGACUCGAGAUUGAUCUUUGCUUUAACGUCUUUCAAACAUUUGGGAAAUAGCAUUUAUUUCUUUCAAUUUCUCUACUUUUUUUUUCCUUUAUGUUAUUUAGACCCCAAAAUUAGAUUUAUUAUAAUCAUAUUUUACCCAUACACUAUUAAUCCCUUUUAUUUUUUAAAUUGUCAAUAUUAAUGUAUUAGAAUAAUGUUAGAAAUCCCAAUUAUUAUCGCAAUGUUUCAAUCAUAACUAAUGUGAUAACUCAUCGGUAACUACAACAUUAACUUAAUUAUUAAUGUUUAUCAUGAAAUGAUGAGAUUAUUAUUCAAGAAAAACUUAGUAAACAUCAAUGACUAAUAUAAUAUGACAAUUACAACUGAAUAUUAGUACAAUAAUUAGGAUCCCUAAAGUUAGUGAAUGUAUUAUAAUAUAUGUGUGUUACACCACUUUAUGUCUCUCAAAUUCAAUUAAGUAAUUUCAGAAACCUGAUCUUUUAUUACAUUAAUUAGGAAUGCAUACAUGAACGAAAGAUGUGCAAUUUUUGUUCUAUUUUUCACUAUUAUUUACCAUUCAUCUACUUACAUCACUUGAUUUUUUGUGAUUAAUAUGCUUAAAUGGAUCUCUUAGAUAUAAAUAAAAUAAACGAAAAGUCUAAGAGAAAAAAAAAUGAGGACCGAAAUUAUUACACCUACAACAAAUUUGCCCAGAGAGCAAUAAAUCAAACUUGCUUAGGAAGUACAAUGAUUAGUUAAUAACUAAAAGAGCCUUCACCUGACAUGUUAAAGCUUCUGUCAAGCAAAACACCCAUUGAAAGCUGUUUAGGUCCGUCUUAGAUCAUCGGAAAUUUGACAAAAUCAUAAAAACCCUCAUCUUAUGAUAAUCUUUUCCAGAUAGGUGACUUACUAGAUCUCCUGCCAAGAGAAUAUCUAUGGUUUUGAACCUCCAUUGAAAUUUCUUUUUCCCUUUUUCUUGUUUUGACUUGGAACAAUUUAUUUGAUCUUUUUUAAAGGUAAAAUAACAAUUUAUAGGUUGCCAACAUCGUAUUCUGCCAAAUCCCACCCCAAAACAAAAAAAAAAAAUCAAUGGGUUGACAACAAAUAGCGCCUACUCAACUUAUGUUCUCCAACGGACGACAAUAUGCAAAUCGACCUAGUAGCCACAUUUUUCCCCCUUUCAACCACCGUUAGGCACCUUUUCUAACCUUCCUUCAUUGCCCACACCUGCAGAACUAUAAUAAAAAGACUACAUUAUUAUUGAGGUAGAGAAAAUAUACAGACUGUAUUAUUAUUACAUCCCAUUUUACUAAUUAACUAGUGCAAGACUUCUUUAGUGUCAAAUCAAGAACUGAUUAGAAAAGACAACUCAUGAUAAUACAGACCUUAAUAAGCAAUAGCUAACAACAUCCCAUAUACUCCUAUUUUAGCCUUCACUAUCCUGGUAAAAACACAAUUAAGUCUUGCAAAAGAACAUUCAUAAGUAAAUUCAACAUUAAUUAAGAUUAGGUAUCUACUGCACCUAAUAGCAUGGUCAACCAUCUAGUUCCUGUAGCCUUCCAUGUACCUAUGUUAGUUACAUUUUACAUAUUAAGCCACGAAAACGAAGAAUCACAGCCUGGUAAAGAAAGCCAUUAAUUAAUAGUUUUUGUUUAAAAAGUUCUCCCUUAGAUCUUUCCUACUCAAUGAAUCAAUGUAAUCUAAAGAGAACUCUUCCAUUUCAAACAGUGUUAGAAGAUAUUUGCAAAGCCUAAAGAUAACAUACAAGGACCAAGAUAUACACGGAUGGUUUCUUUAUGAGACUAAAGAGCUUUUUUAGAUGUUAAAACUGUUUCAAACUGUUUUUCUGGUUUGGUUUAACUAAGGAAGAGCUUGUGGAAGAUUAAAAAUGAUGUUUCCUGUUCUCUGUAGGAAGCUUUUAGGAGAUUUUUUGGGCUUUUUUGAAAGGUUGAAUUGUCAAAAAUACCUUGAUGUUAUUGUUUGCUAAAAGAUGUUAUGGACAACUAAACAACCAACAACAUUUUGCACAAUUUUCAACUUUCAAGGAAGAUAGCUAUGAGGGGAAUCCUUUUCUUUGUGGAUGGCCACUGUCCAAAAGUUGCGAUGAUAAUGGAUUAACAACAGUGACAACAGAAGCUGACACUGAAAAUGAAGAAGUUGAUAGUUUAAUUGACAUGGACAGUUUCCUGAUCACUUUUACAGUAUCUUAUGGAAUUGUGAUAUUCGGAAUUAUUGGAGUUUUGUACGUAAACCCCUAUUGGCGGCGAAGUUGGUUUUACCUUGUUGAAGUAUGUAUGACCUCUUGCUACUAUUUUGCAGCAGACAAUCUUGUUCCUAGAAAAUUCUAUGGUGGAUGGAUGUAAUUUCAUUACAUUACAACUUAUAUGUAAUUUUCAAAGAAUUUUCUUUUGCAUGCAUGGAAUAGCAACUCAAUAAAAGUAUUUGAUGCAAAUUGUCCAAGAACAACUUAGUAAUUUCAUUGCUACUAUUCGGUUGUAUGUAUACAGUUAAUGAAAUUUUUAACCAUUCGCAGAAUACCCUUAGGAAUUUCUUUAGAUGGCGGCCAAAAACUAAGAGAUUCGGGGCUCUACACAGUCUGAAUGAAGAUUAACUUAAUGCCCUCAGGAUUAUGUGUAAGUUCUCUUUUAAAUUUAAGGGGUUGAGAUUUCAGGUCCGGAUGAAAGUUGAAUGCAGGUCACGAGACUUCACUGGGACAAACUUAAAAUAAAAAAUUAUAGUCCACAGUAAGAGCAAUGGGUAGCUUAACUUAUGGAAGAUAACUAGAACUUGGAAUAACUUAAAUUAGCUAUAAAAUUAAGACCAUUAUACAACUAAAAAGAAAGAAAAAUUGUUUGCUACUACAUAUCAAAACUGGUAAUAGCAAUGUAAGAUGGCAGACUUCUUACUUAAACAGAUGAGAGGCUACAAAUAAAAAAAUUGUGCAAAUAAAAGAUAUGAUAAAGAGCAUAAUACUUUCUUGGGGGCUAAAAAUAAUAUACAACUUGUGAAAUAUAAAUUGAGCUACCAUUACCUUUUAGAUGUGGCAACUUUCGACUUUUGAGGCACUUUGGAAUAUGCAUUCAGAAUCCUGCAUUUGGAAGCCAAAUAAAUAAUGUUAAUAACAAUUUUACAAUAGAAAAAUUAAAAAUUGAUAAAUGGCAGUUGUAAUUUAUGUAUGUGUAAAGAUAGCAUCACAUCCAGGGUCCUCCCAUAAACAUGCUUGUAACAAGAAUUAGUUUGCCUCAACUGCUAGCAACUGCUAACAAUAUACAAUAGUAAAAAUCACUCUUAUGAACUCAACAAUACUAGGCACCAAUAAGAGUAUGAUACAGCCAUUCUAAAUGGAAGAGAAUAUAACUGUUUUACAACUAUGUUGCAUCAGGAGAUAUGUUAGGAGGAUUAAUCCAGAUACCUUCCAACCCAAUUAGGAAAACUCAAGUCAGAAACCAGGAGCUGCAACCGAACCUUACAAUCUUGAAGGAAGAAGGAGACUUGGGGCAUUUUUCCAGAUAGGUGACUUACUAGAUCUCCUGCCAAGAGAAUAUCUAUUGCUUUGAACCUCCAUUGAAUUUUCUUUUCCCUUUUUCUUGUUUUGACUUGGAACUUUCCAGCAUCAUCUAUUUGAGCUUUUUUAAAGCUAAAAAAGCAAUCUAUGGGUUGUCAACAUCUUAUCACCCCCCCCCCCCGCGGGCCCCCCAAAAAAAAAUCAAUGAGUUGUCAAUAAAUAGCGCCUACUCAAAUGUUUUCCAAUGGAUGACAAUGUGCAAAUCGACCUAGCAGCCACAUUUUUCCCCCCUUUCAACCACCAUUAGGCAACUUUUCUAACCUUUCUUCAUUGCCCACAUCUAGAGAACUAUCAUAUAAAGACUACAUUAUUAUUGGGAUAGAGAAAAAUAUACAGACUAUAUUAUUAUAACUCAUUUUAUUAAUUAACUAGUGCAAGACUUAUUUAGUGUCAAAUCAAGAACUAAUUAGAAAAGACAACUCCUGAUAAUACAGACCUUAAAAAGCAAUAGCUAGCAACACCCCAUAUACUCCUAUUUUAGCCUUCAAUAUCCUGGUAAAAACACAAUUAAGUCUUGCAAAAGAACAUUCACAAGUAAAUUCAACAUUAAUUAAGAUUAAGUAUCUACUGCACCUUCAAUCAAUGACUGGGUGAAUAGCAUGGUCAACCAUCUAGUUCGUGUAGCCCUCCUUGUACCUAUGUUAGUUACAUUUUACAUAUUAAGCCAUGAAAAUGAAGGAUCACAGCCUGGUAAAGAAAGCCAUUAAUUAAUAGUGUUUGUUUAAAAAGUUCUCGUUUAGAUCUUUCCUAUUCAAUGAAUCAAUGUAAUCUAAGGAGAACUCUUCCAUUUCAAGCGGUGUUAGAAGAUAAUUGGAAAGCCUAAAGAUAAUAUACAAGGACCAAGAUAUCGAUUAGGUCAAAUAGUGAAUGUCAAAUAUAAAAAAUAAAUAAAAGAAGUUGUACAUGAUCAUUUACUAUCAAGUUAUGUAAAAUUGAAAAUACCAUUAUUCCUGUAGAGAUUCUCAAACAACUCUUUGGCAAAUUAUAAAAUAGUUAAAAAAAGAACGAAAGUUUAAAAAAAAAAAGAAAAUGUACAACAUCCAUAUCAGGAGAUGUUUUUCUUCUCAAUCUCAAUAUUUUCUAGCCGUGAAGCAAUUGAAAAGCUUAACACUAAGUGAAUUAUUAAGAAUUCAUCAUUUAAAUUCCCAAAUCGCAAAAUGUUGGUGCAACUAGGAAAGUGCAAAUGCAAUCACUUAACUAACACAAGAAACACCAAUAGUGAGAGCCCACUUUGUAUCAAAUUUGAAACAGAUAGAGGUCAAAAAAAUUAUAGACACUCAAUUAAAAGCCUUUCAAACAGCUUUUGCAUGCAAUAAGAACAAAUCAAAGGCGAUGUGAAUGUAUUCAAAGACUAAUUUACAAUCAUCUACAGGACAUAAAUAUCUUGGAUACCUACUCUCUAUACCUUCCUGUCCAACUGAAAAUCACCAAAUCCCUCCAAACAAAAAUGACAAAAUGGAUAAGAAUUGUGUGGUCAAACUUCAAUAACUUAGCAGCCACAGCAAAAACUUAUGUAGACAUGCAAGCCACUCAAAAUAGUCAUAUUUUUUGCUUUCCAAACACAAGCCACUGUGUAAUGAAUGCUCAUAAAUUGCUACUACCAUGUUUGUUAAAACACGUGAAAACCACCAUAACUAACUCAAUGUAACUGAUGAUCAUCAUCACAUUCAUGGAAUCACAUAUCUGACAGUAUUAAUUAGUGCAAAUUGCAUGCUUCUUGAAACUCCUUGUUUAUCACAUGGGCGCCAUUCCAAUCAACCAAUGAUUCUGAUCUAGUCGGCAUAUUCAACCCACGAGCGAGUAAUACCUCUUAUUGCUUCUUUACAUUUCUCAACGAAAUUCCACAUUCAAACCAUACUUCUGAACUUGUUGCUCCCAUAGACUAAUACAAUAUAAAUAUUUCUUCCCACACCACCUCAAUCCCCACUCCUGAAAAACCAAUUUAAAUUCUCAUUGGCUGUACAACCUAUAGUCCAUACCAAAUUGAAAAAUUUACAAAUAUAGAACCUCAAAGAAUCUUCUUGCGUUCCAUUUUUUACGGCAAGAAAUUUGACUUUUACCACAUGCAAGUCAACAAAUAAAAAAAUCAUGUCUUUGUGAGAUGCACAUUUUCAGACGAAUUUGAAGAGCAAUGAAACUGUAAAAACCGAAUAUGAGAACACCGAGGACUGCAGAUAUCACCUAUAGAAUCUUCGGUCCACACUUGCAUGAUGAAAAUGAUGAAAAAAAAUUGAAGGCUUCGUCACCAGCUCCCCAGGUUGUUUUGUUCUCCUAUCUCCUAAACAUAAAGGAAAUGCAACCUGUUCUUUUUUCCAAUCUUAAGGGGCACAGAACGACCCUGGUAUAAAAUAGUCAGUUUCUAUACAAAAAUAACUCCUUUGCACUUGGCAUUCCACAUCUCAAAAUAAAAAGCAUGCAAGGAGGAGAACAUAAUAGCAUUAAACAAGUUUUAUUAACCAAACUUCAAAGAUGCCACACAAGGCAAAAAAGGAAUCUGUACAAGCCAGAUCCCAAGAAUAAUAAUUCCAAUAUACAAUUCACAAAAACAAUAACUAAAACCAUGUUCAUGAGGCCUCAGCAGAAGCAACAUGUAAUAACCAUACUCUAUUAUUUGAAACACAUUUCCAAGUUUGGUUAAGAUUCUAAACCAUUCUCUAUGUGUCAAUUAUUAACAUGUAAAACAUAAUAAUAUACACUUAAACUACUACAGUAGUAAAACCAGUAAAACAACAAUACCUGCUAAAAAGAUUUGCUACCUCUUCACAUUCACGAGCAUUGCAGAACCAAAUCCCAUUUACUUCUUGGGAUGCAUUCCGAUAUAAAAAAUACGGAACCUGAACUUCAAACUCAAAAUCUCCCAAAAGAUUUUCCACUAAAUUAUCUGCACAUAUCCAAGAAAUUGAAGCUUAUCAGUGCAAAAACAUAUGCAAAAAGACAUGAAGGUUAGGAGAUACAACUAAAACUUAGCAACAACUGAUAAGCACAACAAGAAAUGAAAUAUAACACGAGUUGUAAACAAGAUAGACACAUGGUAUCUAAAUAAUUGUACCAACCCCCUCUCCUGAUUGUCAUAAAAAGGCCAAUAUUUAACCCUAGACAACAAAAUUGCAAAUACUCUAGCCUCUAUAUUAUUGGCAUAUAAAUAUUUUCGGUUAGGUACAUUAUAUUCUUCCUUCUAAAACCUCAAUUAUUAGCUAGUACUGUGAUAAAAUGAUUCAAAACUGAAAUAGAAACAACGACAAACCAACCUGUAUUACGUCGAUUCAUUACAACAAACUGAAAUCGAGGCUGUGUGUUCCUGAAAAUUGAAAAAAUAAUAAUUUCACCAACUUCAUAUGUAAUACAAUCUCCAAAACACUGAAUAUCAAAUGAAAAAAAUGGAAAGCAUAAGAGAGAAAAGAAUCUAAUUUUAUUGACCUUUUGACGACGAAGAGAGAGCCUUCAACAUCCUUACGACUCCAUUGGCUGAGAUCGAUGUUGAACUCGUAGAAGGUGACAUGAGCGGCCGUGAUGAGGAUCUCCUCAAUGAAUGGAUCGAUUCGCUGAAGAACUGUCAGGUUUAGGAGUUUUGUGCUCUGCUGGUCCAGAUUAGGCAUCAAUUUUCCGUUCUGCGACAUUUUUCAUAGUCCUUUUGGGCUCUGCCCCGAGCACAAGCCCCAUGGUUUUUCUGUGAGCUCUCUCUUUUGUAAAUAAAGUGUUUCAUGAGAUAGUCGAGAGAGAGUGAAAGAGUUGAACAGCUAAACAAGGUGAGGUGAACACUUUCGGACUGAGACUCGAGAUUGAUCUUUGCUUUAACGUCUUUCAAACAUUUGGGAAAUAGCAUUUAUUUCUUUCACAGGGAUUUGUCUGUGGUAUACCCCAAAAAAAGGGUAUUUAUCUAAAAAUACCUCCAUACUCAAAAAUUUCUCGUAUAUGCCUUUUCUAAUAUGCAGUUACGAAAUUACCCUAAUGAAAAACCUAAAUCAACUAAACUACCACAAUCAAUCGUGUAACAAAAUCCCUAAUUUUUUCUCAUGAGCAGCUUCUUCUUCAGCCCGUUCUUCUGGGUUUCUCCUCCUCCAUUUUACAAAUCCCUAUUAUUUUACAACAAUUCUUCUACACACUCUCGCCUCUCUGCAAAUCAGUAGCUGCAAUUCCCCCACUCUGCUUCAGCAUCUCCUCUUCCAGGUACUUUUAGAAAGUCAAAUUUUUUGUUUUAAUGUAAAAUAAAAUUUGAAAGUUUCAAAGCUCAAGUUAUUGAUUUUUCUGAAAAAAAUCAUUUGCAGCUGGUAUUGAAAUGUGUGCAAAGUCUUGUGCCAAAAGCUUAAUUUUCAUUUCUCGCAAAAGUCAGAUGACAAGACUUCACUUGAUUAGGCUUAUGCUUGUCUUUUACCUUGCAUUAAUUUUCAUCUCUUGUAAAAGUCAGAUAAUAAGGCUUCACUCGAUUAGACUAAUAAUUGAUUUAACAUAUUCAUUUUCUGAUUAAUUGUCAUCCAAUUUGCACGCACAUCGGAUAGAAUUCAUCCAAAAAAAUGGCUCGUAAGGUACGGGAGUCCAAAUACUUAUAAACCUACACACCAAGCCUUAGCUUAGCAAUAUGACACUCAAUUAUAGUUCAUAACCGAUAUGCAUGGUGGCCAUAUAUGGGGCUGAGUGACUUCACAGAUUUCAUACAAGGUGAAUAGCAGGUCUUCUUCUCAACUUACUUCGUCUGUGAAGAGAGAUUUCAUCAAAAAAUUGGUAAAACUCAUUCAAAAGACCGACUUAUGAUGUUAGAAAGACCAAAUACCCUAUAAAAUGCUUAAUAAAGUGGUCGCACAAUUAUUCUUGUGUACACAGUACCAAUGCAAUAGAAAAUAGGGUAAACAUUAAUGUCUCUAGCUACUCAGUCCAAUAGACAGUAUAAUCUAAAGAUGUCGUGUUGUUGUAUUGUUACACUGGUGAGACAAUUGCUGCAUGUUGCAGACAUGAUACCUCUAGUACUUCAAAAGAUAGCAUAUCACGAAACACAUCCAGACUGUAGUGAGGUUAUUUCGAAAAUUCCUUGGCCCAUUGUGUGAGUGCGUGACAUCCCGCAACAAAAAUCAGGGUAUGUACUAUAUAUAUAAUGUGUUUUGAACAUAAUAAUAAAAAUGAUGAUUUUUAACAAUUGAUUUAUAUGAAUAUUUUUAGUGGUGACUGUGGAGCAUUUUUGUUGCGGUACUUGGAGGUCCUAGCCCAUGGACUUGAUGUCAAUUCAUACUGCCAACAAGAUCAUGUUACACAAUUUCGACAAGCCUUGGCUGUAAAAUUAUUUGGGCAUAGGUCAUGGAAAAAAACUCCGUAGUGUCAUUUUUUGGAUUAUGAGAUGUAAUAGUUGUAAUGAGGAUGUUGUUGAUAUUUGAUGUCAUUAAAGACAAUUGACAGCAUUAAUAUAUUUUAUUUCUUUGUUAUUUAUAUUAAUGAUAGAUAAGAUAGUUUGCACAAUAUAUGCACAGGGAAUACACUGUAAGAGAAUACACGACUGCAGUCGGGUAUUUGCACAGAUACACGACUGCGGUCGGGUAUUUGGAAAUAAACAUAAUACGCUCUGUGUAAAAUACUCGACUGCAGUCGGGUAUUUGGAAAUAAACAUAAUACGCUCUGUGUAAAAUACUCGACUGCAGUCGGGUAUUUGCACAGAUACACGACUGCGGUCGGGUAUUUGGAAAUAAACAUAAUACGCUCUGUGUAAAAUACUCGACUGCAGUCGGGUAUUUGCACAGAUACACGACUGCGGUCGGGUAUUUGAAAAUAAACAUAAUAAGCUGUAACAAAAUACUCGACUGCGGUCGGGUAUUUGCAAAUAAACAUAAUAAGCUCUGUGACAAAAUACUCGACUGCAGUUGUGUAUUUGCACAAAUACACGACUGUAGUCGGGUAUUUACAAAUAAAAAUGACAAGCUCUCUGUGAAAAAAUACUCGACUGCAGUCGAGUAUUUGCACAGAUACGCGACUAUAGUUGAGUAUUUAGAAAUAAAUAUGACAAGCUCUCUGUGACAGUCGGGUAUUUACACAGAUACACGACUGUAGUCGAGUAUUUAGAAAUAAACAUGACCAGUUUUGUAACAGUCAAAAUACACUAUUGUACUGGGGUAUGUGCACAGAAUAAAAACUCUUUUCAAUCAUUCAUUAUAUUGAUGACACAAUCAAUAUAGAUUUUAAACAUAUCAAACUUCAAAUAAAUGAAACUAACUAUAGUCUGGUUGCCUAUCAAAUAACACAAAUCCAAUAGUUAUUGAAAUCGUAAAUAAGUCGUAAUACAAUAGAAGUUGUUUAACAUUCAUCAUAAAUUUUUGGCAUAUUCAACCCAAACACUCGGUCCAUAUUUUAUAAGCCUCUGGUCGCCUCCCUUCAAUACUUGUUCUUAGAAAGUCACACAAACAUGUUUAUUCAUCUGCGAAACAAAAAGGUAGAAAUUUAUCACUAAAUAUGAAAGAUAUUAAAAAAAUUAAAACAACAAAAAAUAACAAGUAUAUAAGGUUCAUAGUAGUCGUGUAACUUAUUAACAAUUAUAGUAUGUAAGUUUAUACGUACACGCUAGUAGUCGUGUAACUUAUUAACACACAUGACUAUAGUCUAGUAAUAGUAAAAGGAUAUAUAUAGUGAAAAAUAUAUAUUUUUUGAACCAAUAGAAUAAUAAGGUGUCAUAAUAAUUGAAUUUUUUUGCACAUUUUCACGACUACAGUCGUGUAAAUACAUACAUACACGACUGAUGUCGUGUAUGUCGGGUGCAGAAAAAAAAUUUGACAACAACUUCAGAUUUUAACGAAUGUAGUUAUAAAAUCCAUCAAAUAACAGUCAUAUGAUGCAAAUGUAAUAAAAAUAUGAGUUGCUUUAGUGUUUAUCACAAACCAAACAAAACCCUAAAAAUAAUAUAAUGUCAACAAAUUGAAUAGAUAGCCCAAAAUAAAAUAAAAAAAGUUUCAAAUACCUUAUUCAUGGGAUGAAUAAUACACCCAGCUGCAAACAAACUCAGUGCAUUAGCUGUUUGUGAGUGAUUUUGAGUGUGGUGUGAGUUUUUGUAUAGGUGAUAAAUACGUGAGAAGCAAAGAGUGUUGUGAGUUGUGUGUGUGUUUUAUAUUUUUCUUUAGGGAUAUUUUAGACAAUGUACCACAUAAAAAGGCAUACUUAAAUAAUUUUCAAACAUGAGGUAUAUUUAACUAAAUACACUACUUUUAAGGCAUAUUUAAUUAAAAACCCCUUUCUUUCAAUUUCUCUACUUUUUUUUGUUUUCCUUUAUGUCAUUUAGACCCCAAAAUUAGAUUUAUUAUAAUCAUAUUUUACCCAUUCACUAUUAACCCCUUUUAUUUUUAAAAUUGUCAAUAUUAAUGUAUUAGAAUAAUGUUAGAAAUCCCAAUUAUUAUCUCAAUGUUUAAAUCAUAACUAAUAUGAUAACUCAUCGGUUACUGCAACAUUAACUUAAUUAUUAAUGUUUAUCAUGAAAUGAUGAGAUUAUUAGUCAAGAAAGAAUUAGAAAAUAUCAAUGACUAAUACAAUGUGGCAAUUACAGUUGAAUAUUAAUACAAUAAUUAGGAUCCCAAAAGCUAGUGAAUGUAUUAUAAUAUAUGUGUGUUACACCACUUUAUGUCUCUCAAAUUCAAAUAAGUAAUUUCAUAAACCUGAUCUUUUAUUACAUUAAUUAGGAAUGCAUACAUGAACGAAAGAUGUGCAAUUUUUGUUCUAUUUUUCACUAUUAUUUACCAUUCAUCUGCUUACGUCACUUGAUUUUUUGCGAUUAAUAUGCUUAAAUGGAUCUCUUAGAUAUAAAUAAAAUAAACGAAAAGUCUUAAGAGAAAAAAAAAUGAGGACCGAAAUUAUUACACCUACGACAAAUUUGCCCGGAGAGCAAUAAACCAAACUUGCUUAGGAAAUACAAUGAUUAGUUAACAACUAAAAGAGCCUUCACCUUACAACUUAAAGCUUCUGUCAAGCAAACACCCAUUGAAAGCUGUUUAGGUCCGUUUUUAGAUCAUCGGAAAUUUGACAAAAUCAUAAAAACCCUCAUCUUAGAAAUUCCAAGCAUCAGGCAGUAGAUCAGGCAGUAGUCCGACUUUAUUGAUAUUGAGAGUAACACAAUAAAAGUUUCGUACAGAUUUUGCAAACGAAAAGCACAUAAUACACUUAACUAGGAGGAAAAAUUAAAGUGUACAUAUUACAAUCUGCUAACAAUAUACAAUAGUAUAUUGUAUAUACAAUAGUAUAUAUACAAAUUAACUAGGCACCAAUAAGAGUAUGAUACAACCAUUCUAAAUGAAAGAGAAUACAAUUGUUUUACAACUAUGUCACAUCAGGAGAUAUGUUAGCAGGAUUAAUCCAGAUACCUUCGAACCCAAUUAACGAACUCGAGUCAGAAACCAGGGGCCCCUAACUGAACCUUACAAUCUUGAAGGAAGAAGGAGACUUGUGGUCCAGAUAGGAGACUUACUAGAUCUCCUGCAAAAGAGAAUAUCUAUUGCUUUGAACCUCCAUUGAAAUUUCUUUUUCCCUUUUUCUUGUUUUGACUUGGAACUUUCCAGCAUCAUCUAUUUGAUCUUUUUUGAAGGUAAAAUAGCAAUCUAUAGGUUGCCAACAUGUUAUUCUGCCAAACCCCACCCCACCCCCCCGGGGGACAACAAAUCGACCUAGCACACACCUUUCUUCAUUGCCCACACCUACAGAACUAUAAUAAAAAGACUACGUUACUAUUGGGGUAGAGAAAAUAUACAGACUGUAUUAUUAUUACAUCGCAUUUUACUAAUUAACUAGUGCAAGACUUCUUUAGUGUCAAAUCAAGAACUAAUUAGAAAAGACAACUCAUGAUAAUACAGACCUUAAUAAGCAAUUGCUAACAACAUCCCAUAUACUCCUAUUUUAGCCUUCAUUAUCCUGGUAAAAACACAAAUAAGUCUUGCAAACGAACAUUAUAAGUAAAUUCAACAUUAAUUAAGAUUAGGUAUCUACUGCACCUAAUAGCAUGGUCAACCAUCUAGUUCCUGUAGCCUUCCAUGUACCUAUGUUAGUUACAUUUUACAUAUUAAGCCACGAAAACGAAGAAUCACAGCCUGGUAAAGAAAGACAUUAAUUAAUAGUUUUUGUUUAAAAAGUUCUCGUUUAGAUCUUUCCUAGUCAAUGAAUCAAUGUAAUUUAAAGAGAACUCUUCUAUUUCAAACAGUGUUAGAAGAUAUUUGCAAAGCCUAAAGAUAAUAUACAAGGACCAAGAUAUACACAGAUUGUUUCUUUAUGGGACUAAAGAGCUUUUUUAGAUGUUAAAACUGUUUCAAACUGUUUUUCUGGUUUGGUUUAACUAAGGAAGAGCUUGUGGAAGAUUAAAAAUGAUGUUUCCUGUUCUCUGUAGGAAGCUUUUAGGAGAUUUUUUGGGCUUUUUUGAAAGGUUGAAUUGUCAAAAAUACCUUCAUGUUAUUGUUUGCUAAAAGAUGUUAUGGACAACUAAACAACCAACAAUAUUUUGUUAAAAGCUCUACUAGUGUAGGAUCUACUUAAAGAAGCUAUACCAAACAGACUCUUAGACUGAAUAACUCGAUCUUAAGUUUGUAAAAUUGGGCUCAGAAUCUCCACUAACAACCCCGCUUCGGUGAGAAAGCCCAAGCCUGUUACUUUGUAUAACCUUAUUCUGUAUGUUUGAUUGCAGGAACUGGCCAAUCAUACCGACGAGGUGAGUGUGCAGCAUGACGUGCUUGACGGGAUGGUUACUUUCUAUGAUACAACUAAAGCUAGCCUCAACAUAUAUCAGGUGCCUGCUUGUUUUUACCUUAUAGAUACUAAUAUUGUUUAGACGUGUAAUCUCUCUCUCCAUUGAACGCUAGACGGCUCGUCUCAAGCCUUCUACGUACUUCAGAGUCCUUCAUUAGCUUUUUAUGUAUAAAGUUUUGAUCUUUUUCCUUCAUUUGCUUGAAGCUCAUUACUGCAGAUUUGUUUUACAGGUUGGUAGUGUAACAUUCGACUUGCUGUUGCUUCUAGUGUUGGGAUCGUAUUUAAUUGUGCUUUUCAGCUUUCUUGUCAUAACAACUUGGGUAUUACUCUUUCUCCAUAUCAAGCUUGAAGUUCUAAAUUUCAGUUUUAUCUUGUAUUUGAUUUUUUAUAAUUUCAUUGCAAACAGAUUAGAAUAGAAACUUCAAAAGUUCCAAGGUUUCCAACAGGGUCUUGAUGAUCUAAUCAGUUUGUUUCGAAGACCCCAUCCCGUAAGGUAAAAAAAGCUUGAUGCGGAAGCACGAUGCUGCACCUGUCCUGUGUAACUUUUUCAGGGAAGAUUUUCUCUGAUAACCGAGGUGGAAGUCUCCCAGGAGAAGUUGGCAAAUGAUAACUACGAAUGUGUUAUGGUUUAGCUCAGUGACACAAAGGACAUUUUUCAACAAUUGAUCCUAGGAAGAUGCCUAUAGCUUGUUGUGCCAAACAUAGAAAAUCAAAGAUGCGAAAAAAUUUUGUUGAGAUUCAUUUUAGUUAAAAUUGUUUUAUUGAGUGUUUAGCAAACGAGAAAAUGGAAGAAAGUUGAGAGAAUAAAACUGAAGCUAAGAGGAUUCUAGAACAUCUUUCAAUUUGUUCCGAAUACUCAAAAUGUGAAUACAUUGUUGUUUAUGUACACAGCUGAAGAUAACAGCUCAAUUGUAUAACUAACUACUACUUAGCAAUUUACUAACUGUAACUAAUCAAACUAAAUCUUCACGUGCACUGGUAAUCACAUAACCACUAGGUGCCAGCUGGACAGCCAAGUCAUCAACCUUUAACCGUGUGCCAUAGCUGCUGCAAUCCUCUGCUUUAUCUUCUGUUUUGCAUACUGUACAGCAAGCAUGAUGAGCUUCCUUAACAAUUUUUUUUGGGGCAGAGAAUAAUGCUUAUGUGAUUUCUGAACUUGGGGAUUAUGGCGGAUAGAGGCACUAAGGCAAGAGAAAUGUCUGAAUUAUCGAAACAAGAUGAAUUAUUUUUUGUUUAUCGCAGCAGACGAUCUAUGAGCGGAAUUUCUUACAACAAAAGAUGUGUGUCCACCGGCUUGUAUUUAGUCUCGUAAUGCAUUAUAUAUAUGCACGCACACACAGUUUGAGAAGAAUCAGACCAUUGAUUUUCUUUUGAGCCAAUCAACAGAAUGUACAUUUCUUCUAAGAUCUUGUAACCGAAACCGCAGUUUUUCAAGUUUGAUGCAUCUGGGAAAAUUGUCAGAUGGAAUAAAACCACCAUGCGCCAAGGUACCAAUGAUGUUUCUUCCAGCUUAUGAGCACUUCAAAUCAACUUAGGUCAUAUUUACACAAGGGCGCACAUGAUAUCAAUCUAAUGGCAAUUAUAUCAUCUAAAAUCCAAAACCAAGAGUCUCCCAUUUUCCCGUUCUCUACUCUGUUCAUAUUAUCAUAACUUCGAAGAUUGCAAGGCAGCCGCAGAUCCAGCGCAAUCUCUCAGAUCUUUGCUCCUUCCUCAUUGCAGUUAGUCAAAAGAUAAACAGAGGUGUCCCAUGUCAACAAGAAGGUAAUCAUAAAAGAACAACAGAAUUGUAAAACAUAUUUUGUUAUAGAUGAAAUGAUAUGAGCAUCCAUGUAUCUAUCCAGCAUUUAGGACACCGCAAUAUAUUCAUAUGAAACGUAAAACGAUUUAAUAUCAAUUUUCUUAAGGAGACUGAGCAGGUUGUCUCGCAAGUGGCGCAUUAGUAUUGUAACGUCUGUGGGGUCUUACAUUAUCCACAAAAAUAACUCGUCCAUCUAGUAAAUUAGAGAAAAAUGAUGCAAUUUCACCUUCCCACUCAUGUCUGCCAAGGCUUUUUGGGCUUCCUCUUCUGUACGGAAAGUCACAUACCCGUAACCUUUUGAUCUGUUCUUACCUUUAUCCAUUAUUAUGGUAGCUGCAAAAAGAAAAGAAUCGGAUAUUAGAAAACAGUGAAGAGGGAACAGGGGUUGAGACUUAAAAUAGAAAUAGACCAAACCCUCAGUGACUUGGCCAAAUUGUGAAAAAGCAUCAGCUAACAUUCCUUUAGUGGUUGAGAAAGAUACGCCUGCAAAGGAUGCCAGUUAAUUUUAUCAUAAUUAGAUGGUAAGAUUGCAAAUUCUGCAGCCAAAGGCAGUACGCAACUGAAUGAAGGAAAUCAAAUAUGAACAUGUUUUCAAUCUCAAAAUAUGAAGAGUAGCAGAAGUAACUUGUGAAACAGUUAUAAGUUCAAGGGAAUUAGAUGAUGGCAUGGUUGAAUUUUAUAAAUAUUUGAUAUUUUGGACCGAACAGGGCAAACAGAUGGAUCCAGAUAAUUAAGAAAAACAUCAAUUCCAUGCAACCAAAUUAGUGUGGACAAUGCAAUUGCCUUUCCCUAUGAGAGUAGAGGGCCUAAAUACAAGCAAAAACCUACUGAUGCAUCUACAGAAGCUCACAUUCACUAGCUGCAUGAUUAAAUCACUGGAUGGUCUCACUAUGCAGUAAAGAAUGAAAUAAUUAACGACCUGAUAAGCUGCAAGGUGAAGAAAAUAUUCACCAGAAAAGUUCAAAAUCAAAUCAACGUGGCUUUGAUUAUGGAAAAAAUGAAACAAUAUGUAGUGAAUGAAUCUUCUCGUAACUAUGCAAGACACAAUCACUUCCCAGGAUCUCAGAUAUAGAUUUACCAAGUUGCACAGAUUGAAGAACGAAUCCAGAAAGAAUCAAUUUAAGACAAGAAUUAAGAGAACUGAAAACAAUAGAAACAAACACAGACAACACAAGAAUCAAUUACGUGGUUCGGUUGCACCAAGGAGGCACAACCUACAUCCACGGGAGAUGCUUUCUGGAGAGCUUUUAUUGAAUAACAAUGGAGGAUCUUUUACGGGGCUUUUACUUAAGAUUACAGAGAACUCAUCUUUCACAUUCUCUGAUAUCUCUCUCUCUCUUAACACGGUUACACACCCGCUCAGCUCACAAACUGAACUACAAGAGCAACGAAUCAGCUAAAUCCAGAUUGCACAGCUUGUUGACACGUUGAGUAACAAACUUAACGAACUGAAUCAAGUUGCCUCGCACGGCUAUCACGUGCAUCACUUAAAGCUUUCCCUUAAACGACAAAGAUGAACUGCCGUUUCAAGCUUAAGAAACAAGUGAUUACACACGUGCUUCAGCCCGUGACUUUUAAGUGCUCUUAUCUUAUAUUGCCAAAACGCUGCCGUUUAGAGCUGAUGAGUUUGAUUCACCAGCAAGCCUCACACAAUAUCAGUUGAGCAACACUAUAAAAUUAUUCAAAGAAAUCUCUAGGUCAGUAUCCAAAUAUGUGGCUCCGUCAGAAGCAGAAAAGUUCAAAACCAAAGUAAGAGGUGAGCAGAAGCGGCCCAGUUUAGUUAUAUGCCAUGCAUGCGAUCAAAAUUGAAUGGUUAAAUUCAGUUGUUUCCAAUAAUUUUAUGUUGUAUCUUUUUUAAGAAUAAAGAAAACUUGCAUUAAAACUAAAAGUAGGGUAAUACCUGAUUUUCUAAAUAGAUUGCAAUGUAAUUUUGAAAAAUAAAACAAUAAUUUACGAAAUGGUUAUAACAUUAUUUUAAUUUUUUUUUCAAAAAGGAAAAACAACAAAAAUAAGAAAUAAAGAAUGAGGGCUACAAACUUUUUAUCUUAAACGGCCGUUAGAUUAUUUGUAAAUGAAAGCAACGGUCAGAUAUUGGUGGCUUAUGGAAACAGGUAAUCAUAAGGACUACGAGUUUUUUUUUUUUUUUUUUGUUCCAUUGAUAUAUAACAAUCGGGAUUCUAUUAAUAUUUACAAUUAGAAUUUUAUCUAACUAUCUUUGAUAAUUCUAAACUAGUACAACCCAAAUUCCUAUUCUCAUAUAAUAUGAAAGAGAGAUAUAUAUUCUUUUCCUCUAUUAACGAAGAGACAUUUUUACUUCUAUCCAAUUUAACUGGAACGAGAAUUAAAUCCUUUCAAUAGUCAGGACUCAGACCUCAUACACGCUAAUUUGAGAGUGUGAGGUGUGACAAUGGGCCAAGAGACCAUUGACAAGUACAAAAGAGUGAUUGCAAUUAAUUCAAACCGCUACACACGCUAAAUUAAGGGUCCAUUUUUGUUUAUUUCAUUGCAAAGUAGUUUGCACAAUUAAUUCAAACCGCUACACACACUAUUGCAUCUUUUGAAAAAGAAAAAUGGAAUAGUUUGAAUUGCCCAUGACAAGAAUGCUUGUGUUGUGAAAAGAAAUCCAAUGGUUUGUAAAUGGGUUGAAUUUUUCGCUUACUUCAAUGACUUGCUUAUGCCCAAUAUAUUACUUUGCACAGUAGUAUUUGGGAUCCUAACAAUCAACUCUUAAUUUGGUCCCAAUAUAUUACUUUAUGAAUGCUUGUGCUGUUUUUUUAAUAUAAAAUAAUUUAUUUAACUAAUCAUAGAAAUAAGAGAGAAAAGGGGGCAUUUGUUGACUCAAAGUCAAUUACAAAUAUUCCAUGCCUAACUUCCACGCACCCUAAAACGGUUUGAUUUGCUUUCAUGCGUUCAUGAAUUUCCAUGAAAGAGAGUGCCUCCCGUCUCUUUACGGACAGUGACUCCAAUUAUGUUAGCGUGACAAAUACAUAACGUUAUUACAUACAAGAAUAAGUUUUUGGAGCCGAGACUUGAGGGAGGUUCUAUCUAAUUCUAAAGAUUGUAACCAAAUCAUUAUCCCCAAUUUUUUUCAGUUAAAUAAAAUAAAAUUUAUGCUUAAAUAUAAAUAAUACUUUGGACAUUCUUGAUAUUUGUCCUUUUAAGAUAAACAGCAACCCAAUUAUCUAUUUGUUUGUCUUUUUUUUUUAGUAACAGUUUGUUAGCAUAAAUAUUUACCUGUGAAGUCGAGGAGGAGAAAAUAUUAGAAAAAUAAAAAGAAAAAAAAAUUAAGGGAGAUAGAAUCAGAUUUUCUUUUUUGAGCAAAGAACAUACGUAAAAAGAUAUUAAAUCUAUUAAGUCUAAUUGUCUAUAACAGUAAAUUGCAUAACGAAUAAUUUAUCAGCGUAAAAUAAAUUUUAUUAUGUUAUGAGUGUUCUGAUUAUUUUCUAGAGUACGAAUUGUCCCAUCGUAAAACAAACGACGAGAAAUAUAACCUUUGCGGUGGUCUUUUACCGUGUCGUUGUAAAAAGGUUAGUAGUUGAGUACUAUUAGUAAUUUAAUGCACCAAUAUUCUUUCUUUGUCUUAUGAAAUUUUUUCGUUAUCCAAGAGUUUUAAUUGAAAUACUUGGCUUCCAGUUAUUUUGUAAAGCUGUUGAAAACUACCACAGUAAUUUUUAUUUGAGGGCCAAUGUUUAGCGAUUUGGGGUCAAUUCAAAGUCAACUAACGUGUAAAACAUGAUUUCCUUUCAUGAACUUCCAAGAAAGAAAGGAGACCAUUCACCUUCUUCGUGACAACAAAUGAUGUUGAUAUGACAAAUACAAACGCUAUUACAGUAUAAGACCGAGACUUGAUAAAUUGUUAAAUUACAUGUCAUUUUCUUGUUGACUAAAUUGGAAGAAAAAAAUUAAAAUAAAAUAAAAUUGUAAUCAGGGUGAUGUGUGGAAUAUAUUGAAAUAAAUAAAUGGAGAAGAGAAAUUCGUUGAUCAAUAUUCAAGAACUCAUCCAAAGUGACCGUUAAAGUCUGGAGGUUCCGUAUGAUUAGCAUUUAUUUUUAAUUUUUUGGCUUAACAUCAUAUGUAGUCAUUGGUCGUGUGAUCUAGGACAGGUUUAGAAAUCUUUUUUUUUAACUUCCGUAUUCUUAUUAUUUAAUUAGUUAUAGGAUUUUUUAGUAUUUGAGUAGUGAUCGCAUGUCUCCUAAUCUAAAAAUAUGUUUCUACGAGUACAAAUAAAAACUAAGAUUUUAACAACCUUUUAUACUAAACCCUAAAAAUACAUGAAUUUAUCAAAAUAAAUAAAUUUGAAUUGGUAUGCCAUAAUAAAAAUUUUACUUGCCAAAACAAAUUAAAAAAAUGUGACGCUUAAAUCAAAUGUUGACAAAAAUAGACAAAAAUCCAACAAGAAUCUCAAAAAUAAGAAAGAUAUCUUCAAACAAAAAUAAAAGCGCUCAAGAGAAAUUUGGCGACGAUCUGCUAAUCCAUAUUAAAAAUGUCACUUUGACUCACACUCUUUUCCUCGAGAACUUCAGAAUGAUAUAUUAUGAGCCUAAGACAAAUAGCUAUUGCUCAAGUUAUGGCCUUAUGAAUACAUCUUACUCAAUGGCCAUCCUAAAUCAAUAGAGCAACUUGGACGUGUCGAACAUGUUUGCAUUCAAAUUUAGGUAAAAAUCUAUUCUUAUUGAAGGUAUAUAUAGGUGCCUGUGAAGUCUCAUACCGGAUAUAAUGUGAAAGCAAAUCAUGAAUUUAAUCAUUCAGCCAAUUAUUAGUGUGUACGUAUGGUAGGGAUGGCAAAAACCCCGACCGUAGGUAUAGUAUUACCCAGAUUUGGCCUAAUCAUUUUUUUUUAACACCUAGACUUUUUCAAUCAGAGCUUAAAAACCUAUAAUAUUAUAUAUAUUUUUAAUUUAUUUUAUAAUUUUAUAUUUUCAAAUUUUAUUUUAAUAAAAUUAGACUUGAAAAUAUGAAUUUUAAAUAUUUAAAACUUUAAAUAUAGAUAAUAAGUGGACCAAAUGAACAAAAUAAUAGAUAUUUUAUAAUAUUCUUCAUAAAAAUCCAAGUUUUGAGCUGGCCCAUAAGCUUGUGUGGUGAAGUCUGGGAACCCGCGUUGCCCAAGGUUCCGUCAGAAUCCAGGCUGUGCAGAUAUUUAUGACAUCCCAUAUGGACGGAGAGGAAAUAUUUUCAGUUGACUGAAUUAAAUAAAAAUAUAUUACAAUCAUAUUAUAUAUUAACAGAAAAAAUAAAAAGAAAUGAAGAAAAACGUAUGCAAGACUUAGAGAAGUCAAUUAAAAGCUGGGAGUAUCAUCAGUUCAAUUGGUUAUAAAUAGCGUAGAGCCAUCCUCUCGUUGUUGCAGAACUGAAGGAAAGAGAGACAUAAAGAGUGUGUGUAGGUGAUUAUAAUUAAGAAGAUAUAAUGUGUGGUUCAAAAAGAGUGUGGGUGAGUGAGUUGAUUUUCAUAUUAUUAGUAGUAAAAGGGUGGUGGAGUGAAGGAUGUUUGGAGCAAGAGAGGUCUGCUCUCCUCCAACUCAAACAUUUCUUCAAUGGUGAUCAACGUCUUCAAAACUGGGUAGACGCAGGAGAUGAUGAGAAUUAUUCAGAUUGUUGUCAGUGGGAAGGGGUUGAGUGUAAUAACACCACUGGCAGAGUGAUUGAAUUACAUCUAGGAUAUACUCGGAAUUGGGAAUCAGCAGAGUGGUAUAUGAAUGCCUCUCUCUUUACUUCCUUUCAACAAUUAGAGUCUCUUGAUCUAAGUUGGAACAAUAUAGCUGGUUGUGUUGAAAAUGAAGGUCCUUAAUUUACUCUAUUUUAGUUCUUCCUCGUAAUUUCUUACAUUUAUCUGAUCCCUUUGGGCUUUUGUUUAAUUUGUACAUGAUACAAUAACAUUUUUUUUAGUUUUUAUUUUUUAUUUUUUGGCAGGUCUAGAGAGGCUAUCAAGGUUGAACAACUUGAAGUUUCUUUAUUUAGACGAUAACCACUUCAACAACAGCAUCUUUUCAUCUCUAGGUGGUCUUUCAUCACUCAGACGCUUAUCAUUGGUUGAUAAUAGAUUGAAUGGAAGUAUUGAUAUUAAAGGUAAGCAAGCUUCAUCCCUUCUCCCGUGUCCCAUCUUUUGUGGAUCUUAUUUCAUUGACCGGCUGGAAGUAUUGAUAUAAGAUCUGGCUAAACUCUUGCUAGUUUAAGCUUCAAGGAUUUAAAUAUUAUAAAAAUAGGUUUAAGAAAUUAUCAAUAUAUGCAAUUUUCAAUGCUUCUCAUAAUCAGACACAAUUCAAUCUAAUUAUUUUGUAUGUCCUGUCUUCAAAAGUAAAGAAUUGUACACUAAAUGGAAAUCGACAUCGUAGCUUUUUAUUUUUUCUAAUGCUCUUUUUUCGUUAACAAGUUUAUAUCCUAAGAGGGAUUGGAUUAAAAAAAAAAAAAAGUUUUGAUGUUCAAGGUAGGCCAUAAUAACCUGCAUGUUAUUUGUCUGCCUGUAUCUAAAUUUGUGCACUGAAUUUAGUAUUUUGGUUAUUGUGAAGGGAUCAGAUAUUGGCUUCCAUAGACCAACUUGUAUUUAGUUAAUUAAUUAAUUAACUACAUUUAGUAUUUAACAAAUUAAAAUUUAGUGUUUAAUCUAUUUUAAUUUUUUUAAGAAAAAAGAAAAAGAUAUAGCAGUAGGUAAAGCUAAAAUAAAUUUUAAUUCCUUACAAAUUUAAAUUCAUGGUUGUCAGCUAAAUAUACUUGCUUAAAGCCACUUAGUCGAGCCCUUUGAGAGCUGCUUUAAAUUUUUCGGAUUAGCCAUAUUCUUUUCUUAUUAAUAAAAAUCUUUUCGUUGAGAUUUAACAUAAAAAAGGAGAAAAUAAGUUAUUUAAUUAACUCUGUUUUAAGUGUUGGAAUAAAUACAGGACUGGAUUCCUUGAGUAACUUGGAGGAGAUGGACAUGAGCGACAAUGCAAUCGAAAAUCUAGUGGUUCCUAAAGGUAUACAAAAUGUUCAAAUAUUAAUAAUUUGGAGGACAAUUUAAUUGAUUUGAUUAGGGAAUGCCCAAUGACACUUACCCAAAAUAAUUUAAUCCGAAAUUGUAUCUCAAAUAGAUUACAGAGGUUUGAGGAAGUUGAAUACCUUUUAUUUGGAAGCAAGGUGUUGCAAUCAAUAAAGAAAUUCGUUGGUAAAUAUUCAAGGACUCAUCCAAAGUGAUCAUUAAAGUCUAGAGGUUUGCUCUCCUCCAAUUCAAACAUUUCUUCAAUGAUGAUCAACGUCUUCAAAACUGGGUAGACGCGGGAGAUGAUGAGAAUUAUUCAGAUUGUUUUCAGUGGGAAGGGGUUGAGUGCAACAACACCACUGGCAGAGUGAUUAAAUUAUAUCUAGGAUAUGCUCGGAAUUGGGAAUCAGCAGAGUGGCAUAUGAAUGCUUCUCUGUUUACUCCCUUUCAACAAUUAGAGUCUCUUCAUCUAAUUGGGAACAAUAUAGCCGAUUGUGUUGAAAAUGAAGGUCCUUAAUUUACUCUAUUUUAAUUCUUCCUCAUAAUUUCUUACAUUAAUCUGAUCCCUUUUGGCUUUUGUUUAAUUUGUAGGUGAUACAAUAAAAUUAUUUUUUAUUUUUUGUCAGGUCUAGAGAGGUUAUCAAAGUUGAACAACUUGAAGUUUCUUCGUUUAGAAUCUAACUACUUCAACAACAACAUCUUCUCAUCUCUAGGCGGUCUUUCAUCACUCAGAAACUUAUCAUUGGCUAGUAAUAAAUUGAAUGGAAGUAUUGAUAUUAAAGGUAAGCAAGCUUCAUCCCUUCUCCCAUGUCCCAUCUUUGUGGAUCUUAUUUCAUCGACCAGCUGGAAGUAUUGAUACGAGAUCUAGCUAGACUCUUGCUAGUUUAGGCUUCAAGGCUUUGAAUAUUAUAAAAAUAGGAUUAAGAAAUCAUCAAUAUAUGCAAUUUUCAAUGCUUCUCAUAAUCAGACAGAAUUCAAUCUAAUUAUUUUGUAUGUCCUGUCUUCAAAGGUAAAGAAUUGUACACUAAAUGGAAAUCGACAUUGUAGCUUUUUAUUUUUUUCUAAUGCUCUUUCUUCGUUAACGAGUUUAUAUCCUACGAGGGAUUGGAUUAAAAAAAAAAAAAGUUUUGAUGUUCAAGGUAAGCCAAAAUAACAUGCAUCUUAUUUAUCUGCCAAUAUCUAAAUUUGUGCAUUGAAUUUAGUAUUUUGUUUAGUGUGAAGAGAUCAUUUAUUGGCUUCCAAAAACCAACUUGUAUUUACUUAAUUAAUUAAUUAAUUAACACCAUUUAGUAUUUAACAAAUUAAAAUUUCGUGUUUAAUUUGUUUAAUUUUUUAUUUUUUGAAACAAGAAUAAGGUAUAGAAGUAGGUAAAGUUGAAAUAAAUUUUUAUUCCUUACAAAUUUAAAUUCGCCAUUGUCAGCCAAAUAUACCUACUUAAAACCACUCAAUCAGGCCCUUGGCAUCUGUUUUUUAGGUUUUUCUAAUUAGCCGUAUACUUUUUUGCUUAUUAAUAAAAUUCUUUUGCACCAAGAUUUAAAAAUAAAGGAGGAGAAAAUAAGUUAUUUAAUUAACCUUGUUUUAAGUGUUGGCAUAAAUACAGGACUGGAUUCCUUGAGCAACUUGGAGGAGCUGGACAUGAGCUUCAAUGCAAUCGACAAUCUAGUUGUUCCUAAAGGUAUACAAAACGUUCAAAUAUUGAUAAUUUGGAGGGCGGUUUAAGAGAUUUGAUUAGGGAAUGCCCAAUGACUUACCCAAAAUAAUUUAAUCCGAAAUUAUAUCCCAAACAGAUUACAAAGGUUUAAGGAAGUUGAAUACCCUUCAUUUAGGGGGAAGGGAAAAUGCAAUGAUAGAUGGAAGACAGGUGUUGCACUCAAUAGGAUCACUGUCGUCCCUCAAAACACUUUACCUUUUGUAUACCAAUUUUAUGGGAACAGUAGUUAAUCAAGGUAAGUAAAUCUUUUAUCUCGAAAAUAAUUGAAUUAAUAUAUAUAGCUAAAAUUUAUUGUUUCUACUUCUUUCUAAAUAGAAUUGCACAAUUUCACCAACUUGGAAGAAUUGAUAUUGCUCGAGUCUUAUCUCCAUGUAAGCCAGCUUCUACAAAGUAUCGCAUCAUUCACUUCGUUAAAGUAUUUGUCAAUGCAACAUAGUGUACUCAAGGGUGCCCUGCAUGGUCAAGGUAAAUUACGGGUAUAUGAAGCGUUUGUGAUAUUAAUUCGAUGAUAAUUCUUUCUUUUCAAGUUAAGUUUUUCUUGUAAAAUAAUUUUUUUCUUUUUAAUUUUAUAUAUUUUCACUGUCCAAUAGUUCUAUCUUCUCUAAUUUGCUGGAUUCUUGAUUAAGGUUAAUGAAAUUUUAGUUCUGUUAUGUUAAGAAUAUUUCGAUCGCUUAAAAGAGUAAAGAAAAAUAAGUAAAUUAACCCAAAAAAAAAAGAAAAGAAUAGGACCGGAUUAUCCUUAUUCCCUUGCAUUAUGUGAUCAAUAUCAAAAUUAUAACCAUUUCUUGUUUAUUGCUUGUAGAUUUUCGUAAAUUCAAGAAUUUGGAACGUCUGGACAUGGGUGGGGCGCAGGUUGACGUCAACACCAAUUUUCUUCAAAUUGUCGGCGAAUCGAUGCCUUCUCUUAAGUUUUUAUCACUGACAUAUUCAAGUCUUAAUAAAAACACCAUUCUUGAUCAAGGUUAAUUAAUGAUUCUCCGUCUCCCUCUCUCGCAUCAUAACUAAAUUUAAUUGAAAAUAUCUAUAAUGUGAGCUAUUUAUAAACUUAAUGAAAGAUGAUAAGGAGCCAUAAUAAUGACAAAAACAACUGUAAAAUUUUACAGUUAUUUUGUUGCCAUUACGUCAGAUUCUACUGUUCAACUAUCAGUGAUCAAACUUAAUUUUUAAUAUGUACUUUAAAGAUUUUAUGCAAUUAUUUAUCUAUGUGUACUGAAGGAUGAAUUAUAUAUUUUUCAGGACUUUGUCAGUUAGUGCAUCUGUACGAGUUAGACAUCGGCCGUAACGAUUUGAGAGGUAGCUUGCCAUGGUGCUUGGCAAACAUGACAUCCCUUCAAGUGUUAGAUGCCUCUUCUAAUCAACUUACUGGAAACAUCUCCCCAGGCCUUUGUGAGUUGGUGCUUCUGAGAGAGUUAUACAUUGAUAACAAUGAUUUAAGAGGUAGCUUGCCUUUGUGCUUGGCAAAUUUGACUUCCCUUCGAGUAUUAGAUGUCUCUUACAAUCAACUUACUGAAAACAUCUCAUCUUCCCUCAUGCAUCUAAUAUCUAUAGAAAAGCUCAUACUUUCAAAUAAUCACUUCUUCCAAAUCCCUAUUUCACUUGAACCACUUUUCAAUCUCUCAAAACUCAAGACUUUCGAUGGUGAAAUAUGCACAGAAACUGAGUCACAUUAUAAUUCUUUGACCCCAAAAUUCCAACUGACUUCUAUCUCACUGUCUGGUUACAUAGAUGGUGGCACAUUUCCUAAAUUCUUGUACCAUCAGCAUGACUUGAAGAAUGCUGAUCUCUCACACCUUAACUUGAGUGGAAAAUUUCCAAAUUGGUUGGUAGAAAACAAUACGAACUUAGAGACGCUUCUUCUUGCCAACAACUCUCUUUUUGGGUCAUUUCGGAUGCCAAUUCAUUCCCACCAGAAAUUGACAAUAGUGGAUGUCUCCAACAAUUUCUUUCAAGGCCAUAUUCCGGUGGAAAUCGGAACAUAUCUGCCAGGUUUAAUGGAUUUAAACUUAUCUAGAAAUGCUUUCAACAGUAGCAUUCCCUCUUCAUUUGCUGAUAUGAAAAUGUUGAAAAGGUUGGACAUAUCCUACAAUCAGUUGACUGGUGAAAUCCCUGAGCGCAUGGCCACGGGUUGCUUCUCUUUGGAAAUUCUUGCAUUGUCAAACAACAGUUUGCAAGGUCAUAUAUUCUCUAAAAAAUUUAACUUGACAAAUUUAAUGAGGUUGCAGUUGGAUGGUAAUAAUUUCACUGGAGAGAUCCCAGAAAGCUUAUCUAAGUGCCGUUUGUUAGGAGGACUAUAUCUGAGUGAUAAUCAUCUCUUUGGUAAGAUUCCAAGAUGGUUGGGUAAUUUUUCAGCUUUAGAAGAUAUUAUAAUGCCCAAUAACAAUCUUGAAGGACCAAUACCAAUCGAGUUUUGUCAGCUUGAUUCUCUGACGAUUUUAGACCUUUCAAACAAUGCUAUUUUCGGAACCUUACCAUCUUGUUUUAGUCCAUCAUUUAUCGAACAAGUUCAUUUGUCAAAAAACAAGAUAGAAGGACGGCUGGAAAGUAUAAUCCAUGACAGCCCUUAUUUGGUGACAUUAGAUCUUAGUUAUAACCGCUUCCACGGAAGUAUUCCAAAUUGGAUUGACAUACUUUUUCAGUUAAGCUACCUUCUUCUAGGUAAUAAUUAUAUUGAAGGAGAAAUACCAGUUGAAUUAUGCCAGUUGAAGGAAGUGCAGUUGAUUGAUCUUUCUCAUAAUAAUCUAUCUGGUCAUAUUCCUCCUUGCUUGGUUAACACUGCACUCAGUGAGGCAGUAGCUCCAACUUCUAGUUCGUGUGGUCGAGCGUCUGGCUAUGCACGUCCAUGUGAGAAAAAUACAAGUGGACCUCCGAUGGGAAAGGAAGAAACUGUACAGUUCACAACAAAGAAGAUGUCCUACUAUUAUCAAGGAAGAAUUUUGACGAGUAUGUCUGGGAUUGAUCUUUCUUGUAACAAACUGAUAGGUGAAAUUCCUACUCAAAUUGGAUAUCUUACUAGGAUUCAUGCACUAAAUCUAUCUCAUAACAAUUUGACGGGCACAAUCCCGACAACAUUUUCAAACCUGAAGCAAAUUGAAAGCUUGGACCUCUCCUACAACCUAUUGCAUGGGAAAAUCCCUCCUCAACUAGUUGCGCUAAAUACAUUGGCAGUCUUCAGAGUAGCAUACAAUAACUUAUCAGGUAAAAUUCCAGAUAGAAUUGCACAAUUUUCAACUUUUGAGGAAGAUAACUAUGAGGGGAAUCCUUUUCUUUGUGGAUUGCCACUGUCUAAAAGUUGCAAUGAUAGUGGAUUAUCAGCAGUGACACCGGAAGCUUACAUUGAAGAUGAAGAAGGUGAUUGUUUCAUUGACACGAGCAGUUUCCUGAUCACUUUUACAGUAUCUUAUGGAAUUGUUAUAAUAGGAAUUAUUGGAGUUUUGUACAUAAACCCCUAUUGGCGACGAAGAUGGUUUUACCUUGUUGAAGUAUGUAUGAUCUCUUGCUACUAUUUUGUAGUAGAUAAUCUUAUUCCUAGAAGAUUCUAUCGUGGAUGGAUGUAAUUUCCUUACAUUACAACUUAUAUGUAAUUUUUAAAGAAUUUUCUUUUGCAUGCAUGGAAUAGCAACUCAAUAAAAGUAUUUGAUGCAAAUUGUCCAAGAACAACUUAGUAAUUUCAUUGCAACUAUUCGGUUGUAUAUAUACAGUUAAUGAAAUUUUUAACCAUUCGCAGAAUACCCUUAGGAAUUUCUUUAGAUGGCGGCCAAAAAGAGAUUCGGGGCUCUACACGGUCUGGAUGAAGAUUAACUUAAUGCCCUCUGGAUUAUGUGUAAGUUCUCUUUUAAAUUUAAGGGUUGAGAUUUCAGGUCCGGAUGAAAGUUGAAUGCAGGUGACGAGACUUCACUGGGACAAACUUAAAAUAAAAAAUUAUAGUCCACAAUAAGUGUAAUACCCUACCCCUGGUUUUUGACCAUGCUGACCACCCAUAUAUAUAUAUAUAUAUAUAUAUAUAGAGAGAGAGAGAGAAGUAAAGAGAGAAGAGACGAGAGAGAGAGUGAAAGGAGUUGACCCGAGUUUGACCCGAAUCCGACCCGGAACCCGCGACUUUGACCCAGCGAUUUCUCCCAUUUCCGGCCACCGUUCCGGGCAAGCUUGGUACCGAUUCGAAGCUUGAGAGACGAGCUACGUGUCCAUGCCAUCCUUGCCGCCGGAAAACGAUCGGAAAGCCACCGAUCGAAGCUUUGAAGUUCCGCGGAAUCACCGGCUCGAUUCGCCGGUUUCCGGUGAAGCCAUCACUUGGGUUUGGUCCUUACCUUGCCCUCUGCCAUUUCCGACUAACCACUGACGCCGGGGACAUCGUUUUAUCGGUGAUCAGCCGUUAGAGGAUUCACGACUUCGGGAGCUCGAUUCGGAGCCAUCGCCGCGCGUGGGAGGUCACCACCGCCAUCAUUGGACUCAGCGUGGCUUGAACUUUCAGUUCUGAGCUUCCCGUCGCCGUCGGAUGAAUUCCGGUGACCGUUGACCGGCAAGGGUAUUUCGGUGAUUUCACAGUCUAAGGGCAAUUUUGUAAUUUCAGAUUUUGUGGGUAUUUUCGUAAUUGCAUUGAUUGAGGAUAAAGUUGGUAAUUUAUGAUUUUGAGGUUAAUUUGGUAAUUUUGAUAUGGGGGUAUUUUGGUAAUAUUGAAUUCAAGGGUAUUUUGGUAAAUUUUGUAAUUUGAGGGUAAAUAUGUAAUUUGUGGAAUCAAUGGAUAAUUGGUAAUUUUAAGUGAGGGCAGUGAGGUAAUUUGAGAUUACGAUGGUAACUCGGUAAUUUAAGUCGUAAAGGAUAUUUUGGUAAUUUUACGUUCCGAGGGUAAUUUCGUAAUUUCUGACAUUGUGGUUAUUUUUGUGAUCUGAAUUGAGGACUAUUUAGUAAUUGAAGAUUAUGAGGAUAAGUUGGUAAAAUAAUGAUGUUGGGGGCAUUUUGGUAAUUUUGGCAUGUAGGGGUAUUUCGGUAAUUUUGUGCAUGCGGGAAUAGUUUAUUGUUAAUAGAUAUUCGUUUCGAGAUUUAUUAUAUAAAAUUGGUUGUAUUUCAAUUUACGGAAAAUGAUUAUGGCGUUUCCUUGAUUAGGAGGAUUCGCGAACGAGAAUCAACCCGCGGACGUUGUUGGCACCAAAUCUGGAUAUUGUCACUCUGAGUGGAAUAUACGAAACUUAUUUUUAGAGUUAAUUAUGAUAGUAAAGCAUGUUUGCGGAAUAAGUAUUUUAAAUGUUCUGAUUUAAUGAUUUCUUGAAAUGGAUUUAAUGUGAUUUCCUCGAAAUGGAUUUAAUGUGAUUUCCUCGAAAUAGAUUUUAUUCAUGUGUUGAUAUUUUAUUAAAGUGUUUGGUCAAUGAUUUUGCGUAUCCAUUUUGAAUAACGCAUGAUAUUAUUUGAAAAAUAAGAAAAGUGGAUUCAAAUGUGGUAUGAUUUAAAAUAUGGUUAAGAGGAUUGUUUUUGAAAUCAUUAGACAGUACCCUUCCCCUCCAGAUACAGUGAUAUAAAUGAUAUGAGAUGAGAGGCCUUUGGGGUUCGUCUGAACACACAUAGAGGCUUUGGGCCGUGUGUUUGAGCGUUUUUGCCUUUAUAUGCAUGCAGUACAGAUAUUGAGUUACAGUGAUACAGAUAUGGGCUACAGACAUAUAUUGAGUACAGUGAUACGGAUAUGGGAUACAGAUCAGUUAUUGAGAUUCAGAGAUACAGUGAUACAGAUAUGAGAUACAGACAGUUGAGAUACAGAUGAGAUACAGGCCUUUGGGGCCCGUCUGAGUACACACAGAGGCUUUGGGCCGUGUGCUUGGGCGCUAUUGUCCUUUGGGGACUAGAUUAUGCAUGCACAGAUAUGAUGAGAUAUGAAAUAGUAUUUCCCUAUUUAUCCGUGUAGCUCUGGGGUGUGACGUUACCCAGAUAGUACGUCAUUGCCCGUCCGUUGAGGUCCGUAUAUGACGAGAUUAUUUCCCUGGGUACUUGUUUGAUGAUAGUUUUGGUAUUUAGUAUUUGAUAUGAUAAGUAUGGGUAAUUUUUAAAAACCUCCCCUGAGGUUUGAGGCUGUUGCAAGUAGAUGGUGAAAAUCAUUUUAUUUGUAAAAGACCCCCUACCGUCAGUUAAAAUUUUUAUUGACUAACUGUUGACUUUAAAAAGACAAUAUUACCGCCAAUAAUAGUUUACGUCAGUUAAAAUUUCCUUAAAAUCUUAAAAAAAUAAAAUUACAAACUUAAAAAAAUUAUAUUUUUAUAUCAAAUAAUUAAGAUUUGUAAUUUUAUUACAAACUUUAAAAAAUUACAUUUUUAUAUCAAAUAAUUAAGAUUUGUAAUUUUAUUACAAACUUAAAAAAAAUUAUUUUAAGAUUUGUAAUUUUAUUUUUUUAAGAUUUUAAGGAAAUAUCAAUAACUUAAUCAUGGUGAAAAUAAUUGUUUUAAUUACUUAUGAAAUUGUAAAUAUUUGGAAUUGUAAAUAUUGGGGGUAAUAUUGUCUUUUCAAAGUCAACAGUUAGUCAAUGGAAAUUUUAACUAACGGUAGGGGGCCUUUUACAAAUAAAAUAAUUUUCACCAUCUACUUGCAACAGCCUCAAACCUCAGGGGAGGUUUUUAAAAAUUAUCCUGAUAAGUAUUAUGUUUCCAUCGAUUUUAUGCAGAUUUAUGUAAUAUAGUAUUUCAGUGACUGAUUUGAAUUAAAUAAGUUUAUAUAAGUUCUUAUGAUAUUCUGAUGAAAUUGAUUUGAGAAAUUGAUUUGAGAAAGAUUAAAUCAUUUUAAAAGAAUUGAUUUUUUAAAAUUACUAUCCACUCACUGAGUUCACUGAGUUUUAUACUCAUUCCGCUUUUAUUAUAUUUUCUUCCCCCCACAGGAGAUUUGCAGGUACAUCAGUCGACCUAGUAUCGAAUGUUAGUUUUGAAAUUGUUGCCACGUGAUGGUGUUAGGAUGUCAUAGAGUUAAUACUGUGAUAUUUAGGAUAUUGCGAAUUGUAUUUAUUUAUUAUAUUUUGUAAUUAAGGAUAACCAUUGUAUUUUUUAAUAUUAGAAUGACUUGGGUGGUACUUGGUAUGUUGACUUGAGAAGUUGGUUAUGGAAGAUGGUUGGAUAUUGAAUUAUUUUAGGAGUAUUGUUUUGUAAUUUGCAGGUUUGAGAAUGUUAUAUUUAUAAGGGAGAUUCUGCCGAAAUUUUUAUAGAAUUCGUACUUAAUAUCGAUUCAAUUUUACGAGUUUAGAUGGACUUGCCCUGGGGGUGCGGGGCGGGUCGUUUCAGUAAGAGCAAUGGGUAGUUUAACUUAUGGAAGAUAACUAGAACUUGGAAUAACUAUCCGAUCUGCACCUCUUUAUUUGUUAUAUGCUAGUGGGGAUUUUAGGUAGCGUUUAUCGCCAGGGGAGUUACAGUAAUCGAUUCAUAUAUCCUCCUUUACUUCCGAGGGUAACCCAGCUCUAUACAAGAACAACAAGAGGGUUCAAUUAAGAACUCUCUCUCUUCCUCACAACAAAUACACCUAACAGACCAAACCGUGCGCAAAAUAAUUCUAUUCCGUUCUAUUCAUGUCAUGAAUCCCACAAGUCAAAAACUAUCGCAACUCAUUUUGUUUAAUCAGCAUAACUAAAUUGUGGGUAUAAAUGAGCAAACUUUUGAAGCCUGUAACUUAUAAUAAACGCAAACCCAAAAAUGACAUUUAAAUCCUCAUCAUCCCUAACAAAAAGAAACAGGAAUAAUUAUAUACCAAUAAUUUUUCCACAACAAAUACUGAUUUGAGUUGAAACACUAUACAAACUGGGUCCUAUACACUUGCAGAAAGCUACACAGUAGAGAAAAUCUAGCAGCUACAUAAUGGUAUCACUUUCAGCUGGUCACGAAUGGUGUGCAUUCAGCAGUGCUCGACAGACCAUGUCUACGAAUUGAUUGUCCUAUUACAUAUAAAAGCUGGUUAGAUAUACAAGGAAAAAAUUAAUAAUUGAAAAUGCAUCACAAAAAUUAAGAGUAUCGCAUUAGUGUUUGCACUCUAAGCAUGGCAAAGUGGUGGGGGGUUCAUUAUUUUGAAGACUGGGAUAAGUGAAAAAUAGUUCAAUCCACUGAUGAGCAUAAAUUUAUUUACAUGUCAAUUUAGAUAUCAUCAAAAAGUAAACAGUAAUUCACAGUCACUUAAAAGAGUGGACAAAAUGCAUACCAUGAAUGCAUUUUUGUACGUAAGAAAUCCAAAGAAUAUUUCUGAUAAUACAAAUAUGCUGGCUUUAAAUCUGCUGUCAAUAAGCAAUUAAGAAGAUUAUACCAGCUGCAUGGUAAAGUUCCCCUACUCUUAAUAACAGUAAACAUGAACAUGUCAGAUGCAAUUCUAGCAUCGACCAUUUGCAUAACCAGAAAUCCUAACCUGAACAAGCACCAGAAGUGCCUCCCGGACUUUCUCCUUGCUGAUAAAUGGUCCACAGUUUGAAGUAAGAGCAGGAGUAAGAGAUGGUGGAGGGAUUGGUGGUGGAAAAGGUUGAAGCACUGGGGCACCACAUGGGCGUUGUAGACUCAAGGGAGUAUUAAGUGGCGGAGCUGUUGGUGUAGAUGAAGAGACAGGCUGCAUCAUCCGCGCAGAGGAGGAUGGAGGAGGAACAAAGAAUAAGGAAGGCUUUACAAGAUUAGGUGUCCAGUUGCCAGAUUCAGAGGUGUCAAUGGGUGGCAUUAAAGGGGUAGGUGCUGAUAGAGGCGGGGAUGGUAUUUGCAAGGUUGGCACGAUAGGAUAAGCAACACUGGCGGGAUGAGAAGGUACAGAAAUAGUUGUAUCAGACUGCUAAGGUUGUGCAGAGAUUGCUGCAUUAGAAGUACUCCCCACAAUCAUAGCUGUCUGUAAUGAUAAGGACAGAUGUCAGAUACAAGGACUUCAUAGAAGUUGAACCUCACACUAAAAAGAAGUGAUAACAUAUGAAAAUAGUAUAUGACUUGCAGCAUUUUUGUGGUAAUGUUGCAUACUUAUGUAGAAACAUAUUAUUUCAAAGAAAACAUACACUGAAGAAGUUCACAAAAGCAGGAUCCUCAGGAACAUCAGCAGCAUUUGAGGGAGUUGACUCUAGAGGACCAUCCAUAACUGCCGUAGUUGGAACAGCUUCCAGUUCCUCAAACUCACUGCAGUUUAACAAUAAAAGGAACUCGAUGACCAAUUUAAGUAACAAUUAGAUGAUAUAAGAGGUUAGGGAAAAUGAUGAGCGGACCCUUAUGGAAGGUGAUUUCACCUUAGCUAAACACGAAAAUAAAAAGAAAUCAAGGCCGACUCCUCGAGUGCAAUGCAAAAAAUAUUUUCCCUCUUCUCUAACUCCUCUUAUUCAAAAUUGCUCAUCAUUGUGCUGUUCUUUGAGUUUUCACUAGAGUAGAGAACGCUAUUCUCCUGUUAAGUGCAGAGGAAAGAGAAGGGCAAGGGCCUGGUAUGACGCUAUUCUAUAGAAAGUGAGAAGGUGAAGGGUUAAAAUAUUUUGCAAUUUGGAGGUGGUGUUUGUUAGUGUUCGUACUUCUGAGUUUAUUACCUCUUUAGGAUCCAUAGAAAUUGCCUCUUGUUUAGCAUGCACUGUGCCUAAGAGUAAGGCGAGCUUGCAGAGUAUCUAUUAUUUAUUUACUUGGAUAUUCAAACAGGACUACCAGCAACCAAACCUGUCCCAGCACACUAAUCCCCAAACAAAACACUCCUUCAAGUGCAAGGAAAGAGUAACGUGGGCAUAUUUAUGGUUCAAGCACUACAAUAACUAAGAAUGUGAUGACUGUCCACAAACACUAUAUCAGAACCUUUUGAACUACAUCACAUGCUCGAAGAUUGUUUUUUCAGUCAUACAUAAAUUAGCCAUAAAAUUAAGGCCAUUAUACAACUAAAAAGAAAGAAAAAUUGUUUGCUACUACAUAUCAAAACUGGUAAUAGAAAUGUAAUAUGGCAGACUUCUUACUUAAACAGAUGAGAGGCUACAAAAAAAAAAUUGUGCAAAUAAAAUAUAUGAUAAAGAGCAUAAUACUUUCUUGGGGGCUAAAAAUAAUAUACAACAUGUAAAAUAUAAAUUGAGCUAUCAUUACCUUUUAGACGUGGCAACUUUCGACUUUUGAGGCACCUUGGAAUAUGCAUUCAGAAUCCUGCAUUUGGAAGCCAAAUAAAUAAUGUUAAAAACAAUUUUACAAUAGAAACAUUAAAAAUUGAUAAAUUACAGUUGCAAUUUAUGUAUGCGAAAAGAUAGCAUCACAUCCAGGGUCCUCCCCUAAACAUGCUUGUAACGAGAAUUAGUCUGCCUCCACUGUUAGCAACUGCUAACAAUAUACAAUAGUAAAAAUCACUCUCAUGAACUCACCAAUACCAGACACCAAUAAGAGUAUGAUACAACUAUUCUAAAUGGAAGAGAAAACCACUGUUUUAUAACUAUGUCGCAUCCAAAGAUAUGUUAGGAGGAUUAAUCCAAAUACCUUCGAACCCAAUUAACAAACUUGAGGCAAAAACCAGGGGCCCCAACUGAACCUUACAAUCUUGAAGGAAGGAGGCUUCUGGCAUUUUUCAGAUAGGUGAGUUACUAGAUCUCCUGCGAAGAGAAUAUCUUUUGCUUUGAACCUCCAUUGAAAUUUCUUUUUCCCUUUUUCUUGUUUUGACUUGGAACUUUCCAGCAUCAUCUAUUUGACCUUUUUUAAAGCUAAAAUAGCAAUCUAUGGGUUGUCAACAUCUUAUCUCCCCUUCCCCCCCCCCCCCCAAAAAAAAAAAAUCAAUGGGUUGUCAAUAAAUAGUGCCUACUCAACUUAUGUUUUCCAAGGGAUGACAAUGUGCAAAUCGACCUAGUAGCCACACUUUUCCCCCACUUUCAACCACCGUUAGGCAACUUUUCUAACCUUUCUUCAUUGCCCACAUCUACAGAACUAUCAUAUAAAGACUACAUUAUUAUUGGGGUAGAGGAAAAAAUACAGACUAUAUUAUUAUAUCUCAUUUUACUAAUUGGAAAAGACACUCAUGAUAAUACAGACCUUAAAAAGCAAUAGCUAGUAACACCCCAUGUACUCCUAUUUUAGCCUUCACUAUCCUAGUAAAAACACAAUUAAGUCUUGCAAAAGAACAUUCACAAGUAAAUUCAACAUUAAAUGAGAUUAGGUAUCCACUGCACCUUCAAUCGAUGACUGGGUGAAUAGCAUGGUCAACCAUCUAGUUCCUGCAGCCCUCCUUGUACCUAUGUUAGUUACAUUUUACAUAUUACGCCACGAAAAUGAAGGAUCACAGCCUGGUAAAGAAAGCCAUUAAUUAAUAGCUUUUGUUUAAAAAGUUCUCAUUUAGAUCUUUCCUAUUCAAUUAAUCAAUGUAAUCCAAAGAGAACUCUUCCAUUUCAAGCAGUGUUAGAAGAUAAUUGCAAAGCCUAAAGAUAAUAUACAAGGACCAAGAUAUCAAUAAAGUCAAAUAGUGAAUGUCAAAUAUAAAAAAUAAAUAAAAUAGUUGAACGUGAUCAUUUACUAUCAAGUUCUGUAAAACUGAAAAUACCAUUAUCCCUGUAGAGAUUCUCAAAAAACUCUUUAGCAAAUCAUUAAAUAGCAAAAAAAAGAACGAAAGUUCAAAAAAAAAAAUGUACAACAUCCAUAUCAGGAGAUAUUUUUCUUCUCAAUAUCAAUAUUUUCUAGCCGUGAAGCAAUUGAAAAGCUUAACACCAAGUGAAUUAUUAAGAAUUCAUCAUUUAAAUUCCCAAAUCGCAAAAUGUUGGUGCAACUAGGAAAGUGCAAAUGCAGUCACUUAACUAACACAAUAAGCACCAAUAGUGAGAAGCCCACUUUGUAUCAAAUUUGAAACAGAUAGAUAGAGGUCAAAAAAUUUAUAAAGACACUCAAUUGAAAGCCUUUCAAGCAGCUUUUGCAUGCAACAAGAGCAAAUCAAAGGCGAUGAGAAUGUAUUCAAAGACUAAUUUACAAUCAUCUAUAGACAUAAAUAUCUUGGAUACCUACUCUCUAUACCUUACUGUCCCACUGAAAAUCAUCAAAUCCCUCCAAACAAAAAUGACAAAAUGUAUAAGAAUUGUGUGGUCAAACUUCAAUAACUUAGCAGCCACAGCAAAAACUUAUGUAGACAUGCAAGCCACUCAAAAUAGUCAUAUUUUUUGCUUUCCAAACACAAGCCACUGUGUAAUGAAUGCUCAUAAAUUGCUACUACCAUGUUUGUUAAAACACGUGAAAACCACCAUAACUAACUCAAUGUAACUGAUGAUCACAUCACAUUCAUGGAAUCACAUAUCUGACAGUAUUAAUUAGUGCAAACUGCAUGCUUCUUGAAACUCCUUAUUUAUCACAUGGGUGCCAUUCCAAUCAACCAAUGAUUCUGAUCUAGUCAGCAAAUUCAACCCACGAGCGAGUAAUACCUCCUAUUGCUUCUUUACAUUUCUCAACAAAAUUCCACAUUCUACCCAUACUUCUGAACUUGAUGCUCCCAUAGACUAAUACAAUAUAAAGAUUUCUUCCCACACCACCCCAACCCCCACCCCUAAAAAACCAAUUUAAAUUCUCAUUGGAUGUACAACUUAUAGUCCAUACCAAAUUGAAAAAUUUGCAAAUAUAGAACCUCAAAGAAUCUGCUUGCGUUCCAUUUUCUACAGCAAGAAAAUUGACCUUUACCACAUGCAAGUCAACAUAUAAAACAAUCAUGUCUUUGUGAGAUGCACAUUUUCAGAUGAAUCUGGAGAGCAAUGAAACCAUAAAAACCUAAUAUGAGAACACCGAGGGCUCCAGAUAUCAUCUAUAGAAUCUUUGGUGCACCCUUGCAUGAUGAAAAAAAUUGAAGGCUUCGUCACCAACUCCCCAGGUUGUUUUGUUCUCCUAUCUCCUAAAUGCACAGGAAAGGCAACCCGUUCUUUUUUCCAAUCUUAAGGGGCACAGAAUGACUCCGGUAUAAAAUAGUCAGUUUCUAUACAAAAAUAACUCCUUUGCACUUGGCAUUGCACAUCUCAAAAUAAAAAGCAUGCAAGGAGGAGAAUAUAAUAGCAUUAAACAAGUUUUAUUAACCAAACUUCAAAGAUGCCAGACAAGGCAAAAAAGGAAUCUGUACAAGCCAGAUUCCAAGAAUAAUAAUUCCAAUAUACAAUUCAAGAAAACAAUAACUAAAACCAUGUUCAUGAGGCCUCAGUAGAAGCAACAUGUAAUAACCAUACUCUAUUAUUUGAAACACAUUUCCAAGUUUGGUUAAGAUUCUAAACUAUUCUCUAUCUGUCAAUUAUUAACAUGUAAAACAUAAUAAUAUACACUUAAACUACUACAGUAGUAAAACCAGUAAAACAACAAUACCUGCUAAAAAGAUUUGCUACCUCUUCACAUUCACGAGCAUUGUAGAACCAAAUCCCAUUUACUUCUUGGGAUGCAUUUCGAUAUAACAAAUACGGAACCUGAACUUCAAACUCAAAAUCUCCCAAAAGAUUUUCCACUAAAUUAUCUGCACAUAUACAAGAUAUUGAAGCUUAUCAGUGCAAAAACAUAUAUAAAAAGACAUGAAGGUUAGAAGACAUAACUAAAACUUAGCAACAACUGAUAAGCACAACAAGACAUGAAAUAUAACACUAGUUGUAAACAAGAUAGACACAUGGUAUCUAAAAAAUUGUACCAACCCCCUCUCCUGAUUGUCAUAAAACGGCCAAUAUUUAACCCUAGACAACAAAAUUGCAAAUACUCUAGCCUCUAUAUUAUUGGCAUAUAAAUAUUUUAGGUUAGGUACAUUAUAUUCUUCGUUCUAAAACCUCAAUUAUUAGCUAGUACUGUGAUAAAAUGAUUCAUCACUGAAAUUAAAACUAGGUCACGUACAAAUAAUCAAAACUGAAAUAGAAGCAACGAUAAACCAACCUGUAUUACGUCGAUUCAUCACAACAAACUGAAAUCGAGGCUGUGUGUUCCUGAAAAUUGAAAAAAAUAAUAAUUUCACCAACUUCAUGUGUAAUACAAUCUCCAAAACACCGAAUAUCAAAUGAAAAAAUGGAAAGCAUAAGAGAGAAAAGAAUCUAAUUUUAUUGACCUUUUGACGACGAACAGAGAUCCUUCAACAUCCUUACGACUCCAUUGGCUGAGAUCGAUGUUGAACUCGUAGAAGGUGACAUAAGCGGCCGUGAUGAGGAUCUCCUCAAUGAAUGGAUCGAUUCGCUGAAGAACUGUCAGGUUUAGGAGUUUUGUGCUCUGCUGGUCCAGAUUAGGCAUCAAUUUUCCGUUCUGCGACAUUUUUCGUAGUCCUUUCGGGCUCUGCCCCGAGCACAAGCCCCAUGGUUUUUCUGUGAGCUCUCUCUUUUGUAAAUAAAGUGUUUGAUGAGAUAGCCGAGAGAGAGUGAAAGAGUUGAACACCCAAACAAGGUGAGGUGAACAGUUUCGGAUUGAGACUCGAGAUUGAUCUUGCUUUAACGUCUUUCAAAUAUUUGGGAAAUAGCAUUUAUUUCUUUCAAUUUCUCUACUUUUUUUUUCCUUUAUGUCAUUUAGACCCAAAAAUUAGAUUUAUUAUAAAUUUAUAAUCAUAUUUUACCCAUUCACUAGUAACCCCUUUUAUUUUUGAAAUUUGUCAAUAUUAAUGUGUUAGAAUAAUGUUAGAAAUCCCAAUUAUUAUCUCAAUGUUUCAAUCAUAACUAAUGUGAUAACUCAUCGGUAACUGCAACAUUAACUUAAUUAUUAAUAUUUAUCAUGAAAUGAUGAGAUUAUUAUUCAAGAAAAAAUUAGUAAACAUCAAUGACUAAUAUAAUGUGACAAUUACAGCUGAAUAUUAGUACAAUAAUUAGGAUUCCUAAAGUUAGUGAUGUAUUAUAAUAUAUGUGUUAUACCACUUUAUGUCUCUCAAAUUCAAUUGAGUAAUUUCAUAUACCUGAGUACCUUUUAUUACAUUAAUUAAUUGGGUCCGCCUAACUUACGCUCAACGUAAGUUACGCUCAGCCCGUCCAAUUUCAUAUAGUCCCCCUAUACUCUAUACUAUUUAUAUUUUAUUCAUAAAUAUUAUAAAUUUUUUGAAAUGUAAAAUUUCAUUUAACCCCCUCUACUCAAUUUUAUUUUAUUAAAACCAUAGAGUAUGAAUUUGCCCCCAUAAUUUUAAAUUCUCAAAAUAACCCCCAUUUAAUUAAAAAUAUAAUUAUUUUUAAAUGAAUUAUAAUUAUAAUUAUAAUUUUAUUAUAAUCAUAAAUAUUUUUUUAAUAGAUUAUUGUUAUUAAAAUAAAAUUUUGUUUAGCCCCUCUACUCAAUUUUAUUUUAUUAAAACCAUAGAGUAUAAAUUCGCCCCCAUAAUUUUAAAUUCUCAAAAUAACCUCCAUUUAAUUAAAAAUAUAAUUAUUUUUAAAUGAAUUAUAAUUAUAAUUAUAAUUUUAUUAUAAUCAUAAAUAUUUUUUAAUAGAUUAUUGUUAUUAUUAAUAACGAUAAUAAAAAAUAUUAUAAUUAAUUAAUUAAUCUAUUAACAAUAAUUAAUAAUAUUUUUAUUAAAUUGUUAGUAAUAAUAAUAAUAAUUAAUGAUAAUCAACAUAUUUAUGAUUAUAAUAAAAUGGAAUAAACACUGAGUCUAUAUUUAUAUAGGAGACUCUUUUAUAUUUCUAUACAUUUUAAUUUCAAGUACUUUUAGGAUUUUUUUGUUACCUUCAUAAAUAAUGAUUUUGUAGGCAUCUCAUUAUUAAACGGUCAUUUUUAAGUGCUUCUAGUGUUGGGAUCGUAUUUAAUUGUGCUUUUCAGCUUUCUUGUCAUAACAACUAGGGUAUUACUCUUUCUCCAUAUCAAGCUUGAAGUUCUAAAUUUCAGUUUUAUCUUUUAUUUGAUGUUUUAUAAGUUCUAAAUUUCAGCUUUCUCUCAUAACAACUACGAACGUGUUAUGGUUUAGCUCAGUGACACAAAGGACAGUUUUCAACAAUUGAUCCUAGGAAGAUGCCCAUAGCUUGUUGUGCCAAAAAUAGAAAAUCUAAGAUGCGAAAAAAUUUUGUUGAGAUUCAUUUUUCAUCCUGAUGUUACAGCUGGCCUUUUUUUUUUUUUUUUUUGGCAGAGAAUAAUGCUUAUGUGAUUUCUGAACUUGGUUAUUGUUGAAAUGAGCUGAAAAUGAGCUGGAAAUGUGUUUGGUUAAUGAGAAAGAGAGCGAGAAAAUGAAAGAAAUCUAUUUCACUUUUUAUUUAUCAGAAUGAUUACAUUCACAAUGAAUCUAAGCUGAUAUUUAUACUUAAAUGAAUACACACGAGAUUCUUCUUGCUAGAUACUUCUAGAAACUCUACACGCACACUCACACUGAGCUAGUGGUUACUAAAACCGUUACAACAAUAUUGCCAGCUCAGCAUAACCAACUUAUAACUAACACACUCAGCUGCAGGGGAAACCAUCAAGCAUACGGUGCAUCCUCUGUAAUCAAGCUUCUUUAAGCAUGCUCUGCAGAUCAUACGUCUGAAUUAUCGAAACAAGAUGAAUUAUUUUUUGUUUAUUUUAGCAGGCGAUCUAUGAUCGGAAUUUCUUGCAACAAAAGAUGUGUGUCCACCAGCUUGUAUUCAAUUCGCGAACACAGUUUGAGAAGAAUCAGACCAUUAAUUUUCUUUUGAGCCAAUCAACAGAAUGUACAUUUCUUCUAAGAACCUGUAACCGAAACCGCAGUUUUUCAGGUUUGCUCCUUCCUCAUAGCAGUUAAUCAAACGAUAAACAGAGAUAUCCCAUGUCAACAAGAAGGUAAUCAUAAAAGAACAACAGAAUUGUUGCAACAUAUUCAUAUGAAAUGUAAAACAAUUUUGAGAAAAAAUAUUGGGAAGAUAUUUUUUUUUCAUAGAAGUUGCAAUCUUUACGUUAUUUACUAGUUGCAAUCAUACGCCUGCAAAGGAUGCCAGUUAAUUUUAUCACAAUUAGAUGGUAAGAUUGCAAAUUCUGCAGCCAAAGGUAGUACGGAGCUGAAUGAAGGAAAUCAAAUAUGAACAUGUUUUCAAUCUCAAAAUAUUAAGAGUAGCAUAAGUAACUUGUGAAACAGUCAUAAGUUCAAGGGAAUUAGAUGAUGGCAUGGUUGAAUUUAUAAAUAUUUGAUAUUUUGGACCGAACAGGGCAAACAGAUGGAUCCAGAUAAUUAAGAAAAACAUCAAUUCCAUGCAACCAAAUUAGUGUGUACAAUGCAAUUGCCUUUCCCUAUGAGAGUAGAGGGCCUAAGUACGCUGCCGUUUAGAGCUGAUGAGUUUGAUUCACCAGCAAGCCUCACACAAUAUCACUUGAGCAACACUAUAAAAUCAUUCAAAGAAAUCUCUAGGUCAGUAUCCAAAUAUGUGGCUCCGUCAGUUCCACCACAACCCAAAAUAUCAGAUCCCCCCAUUUGGAUUCGACUGAUCAAUUUGAGCAUAUAAAAUCGGGUUUUAAACUUCCCUAAUUAAAAUUUAUAUUCCACAGAAUCGUUUCCUUUAACAUGAUGCAUUACAUAAUAUUUUGUUUGCAAAAUAAAGAAGAAAGAUGACAUAAUAGAAACACUCACAGAGAGAGAAUACCUUUGACGAAAAGCUUAGAAGUGAAUCCUCUGUAAAAUACGAGUUGAGCUGCUGAAUUUUUCGAGUUUGAAUGAGAGACUGCGCCGUUUCUGAAAAUGUUUUUUUCUCAGUAGCGCCGCCAUUUUUGUAAUAGAGGGUAAAGAAAUAAGUAACAGAGUAAGAGGUGAGCAGAAACGGCCCAAUUUAGUUAUAUGCCAUGCAUGCGAUCAAAAUUGAAUGGUUAAAUGGCAGCCACUAUGUUACAUCUUGUGUAAGUAACAAACCGCCUACAUGGAUCGUUGGAUUUGGGAAUAUGAAAUCCAAUGGAUAAUAUUGAAUUUAACGAAAAAUAGAUUACAGGUUGCAUUAGUCCAAGUUUAUUUCAAACAAACCAGCUGACGAAAUAGCCGCUAAUCAAAUUUAAAAGGGAAAAAAAUUCAAAUUAUAGGUUAUAGAUCUUAUUUCCAUCUUAAAUCUAUUUGUCUUUCAUGGUGUCUCAAUGUGUAUACUAAUUUAUAAUUUGGAUUUAUAUUAGAGCUAAUGCUUCCCUAAAUAACUAAGAAAAUUUUCUUUUCAUUGAUUUAAUAUUUAUUUCCAAUAUCUUGUAUAUGUAGGAUUUGAAAAGAGGAAAAAUAGUAGGGAUGAUAAUGAGAGAAGAUAAAGGUGUCGAUUCUCAAAUCUAAUAUUAAUGCUAUACUUAUAUUCCUAUACUAAAUAAAUUAUCCAAGGUUCGUGGUUAACAAUACGUUGCAAAAUUUUAAUUUCUAUUUAAAGCUCUGUCUAAUAUGACUUUUCAUAAAGCUUAGAGAAAAGUAGAGCUUUUACCAAAAAAAAAUAAUUAUUAGAAUUGUCAAUGAUAAAUUUUAAAAAGUACUUUAAUAAAUAAGCUUUUAAAGUUAUAUAUAUUAUGAAAGAAAUGAAAUAAGAUUAUAUAAUAAAUUAAGAGUAUCUUAGAUAAUUGAACUUAAAAAAAAAAACUCGCUAAGAGGUUUAAAAUUUGAGUUUUAAUAGUGGAUACAAAAUAGUUUAUUUAAUUCUCAAAAGCUCUACUCAAAAUAGUUUAUUUAAUUCUCAAAAAAUAUUUUUUUCAUUGAGUAAAUAAUACUAAACAUGCACUAAAGUGUUAGGACCAGAAGUUGUACAAAAAAUGAUGGCUACAACUUAAAUUAUGAAUGGAGUAAUCGGAGAAUAUUGAAACCCGUUUAAUUUGGAUCGUGCAUUGAGGGACGAAAGGAUAAAAAAUUUAAUUUUGAAAUUGCUGUUGGGUACGGUACAAUGACUUACCGUUGACAGCUUUUGCAACCGGAUUACAAUCGGUUAGUUCAAUAAUUUUAUAUCCCCAUUUAACCGCCAUGUGCUGCUGUUACAUGGGUCAAUUAGUCAUGUCAUUACUGUUACUUACAGAUGCCGCAACAUAACCGGACCCUGGUUAAAUUCUGUUGUUUCCAAUAAUUUUAUGCUGUAUCUUCUUUAAUAAUAAAGAAAACUUGCAUUAAAAUUAAAAUUAGGGUAAUACCUGAUUUUAUAAAUAGAUUGCAAUGUAAUUUUGAAAAAUAAAACAAUAAUUUACAAAAUGUUUAUAACAUAAUUUUAAUUUUUUUCAAAAAGGAAAAACAACAAAAGUAAGAAAUAGAGAAUUAGGGCUACAAACUUUGUAUCUUAAACGGCCGUUAGAUUAUUUGUAAAUGAAAGCAACGGUCAGAUAUUGGUGGAUUAUGGAAACAUGUAAUCAUAAGGACUACGAGUUUUUUUUGUUACAUUGAUAUAUUACAAUCAAAAUUCUAUUGGUAUUUACAAUCAGAAUUUUAUUUGACUAUCUUUGAUAAUUCUAAACUAGUACAACCCAAAUUCUUAUUCUCAUAUAAUAUCAAAGAGAGAUAUAUAUUCUUCUCCUCUAUUAAUAAAGAGACAUUUUUACUUCCUUUUAAUAGUUAGGACUCAGAACUCAUACACGCUAGUUUGAGAGUGUGGGGUGUGACAAUGGGCCAAGAGACCAUUGACAAAUACAAAAGAGUGGUAGAAAUUAAUUCAAACCGCUACACACGCUAUUGCAACCAAAUUGAGGGCACAUUUUUGUUUAUUUAGUUGAAAAGUAGUCUGUAAAAUUAACUCAAACCGCUACAUACGCUAUUGCAACCCAAUUGAGGGCCCAUUUUGUUUAUUUUGUUGAAAAGUAGUUUGCGCAAUUAAUUCAAACCGCUACACACGCUAUUGCAUCUUUUGAAAAAGAAAAAUGGAAUAAUUUUUCAAAAUUAAUUUAGAGAAUAAGAUUUACUAAUAAUGAUGUUAGAAAUCUUGAUAUUUGAAUCUUAAUAUUAUCUAUCACUCAUUUAUUAAAUAAUAGAUUUCAUAGUUUGUAAAAUUACUUAACCACUUGAUAAAUGUUAUAUUUGUUGGGACUAGAUUGGGACUUAAAUAUUGGAAUAUCUAGUAUUGCAUAAAAAAAAACUUAACAAUUUAUCUUCACACGACUAAUUGUUUUUACAUCACAACUAACCUUAAUUAUUUUAAAAGUUAUAGUAUUAUUAAAUUGCCCUAACUAGUUAUCAAAAGGUGAAACCAUGUUUUAAAAAGAAAUUACUAAGAAACAUUUGUUUAAACGAAGGUUAAGGUUAUGAUCAAUUAAUUAAGAAGAAACUUACUAUCAAAGGUUAAGAUUAUGAACAAUUUAAGGAAGUUAUUGAGUAGAGAAAGGGACAGAAUGGUUGUCUGAUUUGUCGGUGACAAGAAUGCUUGUGUUGUGAAAAGAAAGCCGAUGGUUUGUAAAUUUGUUGAAUUUUUCGCUCGCUUCAAUGACUUGCUUAUGCCCAAUAUAUUACUUUGCACAGUAGUAUUUGGGAUCCUAACAAUCAACUCUUAAUUUGGUCCCAAUUAGUAUAGUAAUCAUCUAUUGAGCGGUAAAAUAUUAAUUCUAAUAGUCAUGAAAUCCAAUAUAUAAUAGAUUAAUAACACACAUAAAUUAAAACAUAACUGUCUGAAAUCAUAACAUUACUCUACUCUUCAGUGAAGUUCUCUUAAACUGAUUAUGUGAAAGCAAUAUUCGCUUUUUGAUUAUAUCCAUAACUUUGAAUUGAUAAAGUUGUAUUCAACAGCUCUUGAAAAGACUAAGCAGGUCUUCUUUGCAUUUGAUCACUGGCAUUUCAGUUAAGUUUGUCACUUACUUAAAAUUUUCUUGCUUUCAAUUUCCACUGUUAUUUUUUUUUAAUAAAAUAAUUUAUUUAAACUAGUCAUAGAAAUAAGAGAGAAAAGGGGUCAUUUCUUGACUCAAAGUCAAUUAUAAUUAUCAAAACUUGAGGGGACAUCGCAUGCCUAAAUUCCACGCACCCUAAAACGGUUUGAUUUGCUUUCACGCGUUCAUGAAUUUCCAUGAAAGAGCCUGCCUUUCGUCUCUUUCGGGACAAUGACUACAAUUAUGGAAAAAAUUAUAAUUCUCGUUAGAUUGUAACCAAAUUAUUAUCCCUAAUUUUUUUAAGUUAAAUAAAAUAAAAUUCAUGCCUAAGUAUUUAGUAAUUAGAGAGAGAUAGAGAGGAUUGAGGGCCAAUGUUUCACGAUUUGGGGUCAAUUCAAAGUCAACUAACGUGUAAAACACGUGUAUGCAUAGAAAACGCUUAGAUUAUUUGUGUUCCAAGUGCAAGAAAUUAAGAAAAGAAAAAUUGAUUUCCUUUCAUGAACUUCCAAGAAAGAAAGAAGACCCUUCACCUUCUUCGUUACAACAAAUGAAUGAAUGAUGUUGAUAUGACAAAUACAAGCGCUAUUACAGGGAACAGCAUAAGACUGAGACUUGAUAAAGUGUUUGUUAAAUUACAUGUUAUUUUCUUUUAACUUGAAUGAUGUUGAAAAUAAAAUAAAAUAAAAUUGUAAUCAGGGUGAUGUGUGGAAUAUAGUGAAAUAAAUAAAUAGAGAAGAGAAAUUUGUUGAUCAAUAUUAAAGACACAUCCAAAGUGAUCGUCAAAGUCUAGAGGUUCGGUAUGAUUAGCAUUUAUUUUAUUUUUUUUGGCUUAGCAUCAUAUAUAGUCACCUGUCGUGUGAUCUAGGACAGGUUUAGAAAUCCUUUUAUUUUAACUUCUGUAUUCUUAUUAUUUAAUUAGUUAUAGGGUUUUUAAGUAUUUGAGUAUUGAUCACAUGUCUCCUAAUCUAAAAAUAUGUUUUUACGAGUACAAAUAACAAACUAGGAUUUUAACAGCCUUUUAUACUAAACCCUAAAAAUACAUGAAUUUAUCAAAAUAAGUAAAUUAAUUUAAAUUGGUAUGGCAUAGUAGAAGUUUUACCUGCCGAAACAAAUUAAAAAAAUAUUACACUUAAAUCAAAUAUUGACAAAAAUAGAUAACAAUCUAAUGAGAAUCUUAACUAGACAUUUUUACUUCUAUCCAAUUUAACUGGAAUGAGAAUUAAGUCCUGUCAAUAGUUAGGACUCAUAACUCAUACACACUAAUUUGAGAGUGUGGGGUGUGACAAUGGGUCAAAAGACCAUUGACAAGUAUAAAAGAGUGGUCGUAAUUAAUUCAAACCGCUACACACGCUAUAUUGAGGGCCCACUUUUGUUUAUUUCGUUGAAAAGUAGUUUUCACAAUUAAUUCAAACUGCUACACAUGCUAUUGCGUUUUUUUUUUUUUUUUUUUGAAGGGAAGCAAUUUCAUUAAACCAAAACGAAUUACAGACUAUGUAAUAACCACAAAGGUGGAACGAAAUUCCACUCUUGGGGACCUGACAUAGAACCUACUGCCCUUGCAACAGAGUGAGCAGCCAGGUUCGCAGACCGACGUACAAACGAGAAUUGUACUUCUCUUAAAGACUUAGCUAAAGCUCGACAUUCAUCAACUAUUAAACCAAAACCGUUAGGCCCUGAAAACUCCUCAACUAGAGCUUGAAAUACUUGUAAACAAUCAGUUUCAACAAUGACACAAGGAAAUUGUAAGCCUUUAAGCCAACUAAGGGCCUCCCGAAUACCAAGAGCUUCAGCCUCCCUUGCUCCAAAAUUCCCAGCCAUUCCAGCACAUCUUGCUGUUAAGAAAACACCCUCUGAAUUUCGAAGCACACACCCAAAACCAAUAUUUCCCUGAGAUGAAAAGAUAGCAGCGUCAACAUUACAUUUGACCCAACCAAACUUUGGCCUCUCCCAACAUAUUGCCCCAUGGACCAGCUUAUGGACAUCAGUAUCAGCAUAGAAUUGUUGCUUCUUUGCUGCUUGCCACUGAUAGAGAAGUUGCCCAGCAGAAUUGAGCACUUGAUUCACUGAAUCAGUUUUGUUAUUCCAUACUUUGUCAUUCCGAUUAAUCCAAACUCUCCAGCAGAUCAUCAUGGCAACAUGGCAUUCUUCUUUGCUGCAGCGUGUAAAGAUGUGAUCAAGCCACUCUAAGAAAGAAUAACAAUGGCCAACAAAACCCACAGAGGAAGAAAUCCAGCAAGCCUUAGCAACAUUACACUCAACCAACGAAUGGAGAAUAGUUUCAUCAGAAGCAAGACACACAGCACAAGUAGGGGGGAUAUUCACCCUCUUAGAAAUUAAAUUAACUGCAGUAGGCAGCACAUUAGUUGCCGCUCGCCAAACAAAAUUCUUAACCUUAUUCGGCACAUUCAAGUUCCAUAGUUUUCGCCACACAUCUGUGAAAGGGUCAGGGGUAAGAGAAUGUAAAACCUUAUAACAGCUACGGACUGAAUAGCAUCCGCGAGAAUCAGCCAACCAAUACCACACAUCAUCAUUUCGGCGGGAACUAAGGGGAAUUUGAAGAAUCAACUCCUUGUCUCUUGCGUUGAAAAGAUCCGAAACAAGAUCAUAAUCCCAAGCUCGUUGAUUAGGCACCAGUAAACUACUAACAGGAGCUGCAGCAAGCUCGGCAUGGAGAUUAGAAGGAACAAAUCCAUUAUUAGUAUCAGGAAGCCACGGAUCCUUACCAAUGAAGAUCGAAUUUCCACAGCCAACUUGCAGUCUACUCCCUUGAAUUACCACAUCCUUUGCAGCCAAAAUAGAGCGCCACACAUAGCUAGGAUUAUGCCCCGCAGAAGCUUGAAGAACAGAGGUGCGCGGAUGGUAGCGAGCUUUAAUUAUCUUGGCCACAAGAGAUUCCGGACAAGUUAACAGCUUCCACAUUUGCUUUCCUAACAUCGCUAUAUUGAAUAAAUGAAGUUGUUUAAAACCAAGGCCACCAUAUCCUUUUGGUUUGCACAGAUUUUCCCAUUUGGACCAGUUUAAAAAAGAAAAAUGGAAUAGUUUUCCAAAAUUAAUUCAGAGAAGAAGAUUUACUAAUAAUGAUGUUAGAAAUCUUAAUAUUAUGUAUCACUCAUUUAUUAAAUAAUAGAUUUUAUAGUUUGUAAAUUUACUUAACCACUUGAUAAAUGUUAUAUUUGUUUGAAUUGAUCCAAUAGCUCUUGAAAAGCACAUAAUAAUCAUUAUAAAUUUAAUCAAAGACUAAGCAGGUCUUCUUUGCAUUUGAUCACUGGCAUUUCAGUUAAGUUUGUCAUUUAUUUAAAUUUUUCUUGCUUUCAAUUUCCACUGUUGUUUUUUUUAAUAAAAUAAUUUAUUUAAACUAGUCAUAGAAAUAAGAGAGAAAGGGCGCCAUUUCUUGACUCAAAGUCAAUUAUAAUUAUCAAAACUUGAGCGGACAUUGCAUGCCUAAAUUCCACGCACCCUAAAACGGUUUGAUUUGCCUUCACGCGUUCAUGAUUUUCCAUGAAAGAGAGUGCCUCUCGUCUCUUUCCGGACAGUGACUGCAAUUAUGUUAACGUGACGAAUACAAAACGUUAUUACAUACAAGAAUAAGUUUUUGGAGCCGAUACUUGAGGGAGGUUCUAUCUAAUUCUAAAGAUUGUAACCAAAUCAUUAUCCCUAAUUUUUUUAAGUUAAAUAAAAUAAAAUUCAUGCUUAAGUAUAAAUAAUUUUUUUAAGUUAAAUAUAAAAUAAAAUUCAUGAACUUCCUAGAAAGAAAGAAGACCCUUCACCUUCUUCGCGACAACAAAUGAUGUUGACAUGACAAAUACAAGCUCUAUUACAGGGAACAGCAUGAGACCGAGACUUGAUAAAUAUUAAAUAUAUAAAAUAAGUGGAGCAAACGAACAGAAUAAUAGAUAUUUUAUAAUAUUCUUCAUAAAAAUCCAUGUUUUGAGCCUGCCUAUAAGCUUAUCUAGUGAAGUCUGGGUAUCCGCGUUGCCCAAGGUUCCGUUUGAAUCCAGGCCGUGUAGAUGUUUAAGACAUCGCAUAUGGACGGAGUGGAAAUAUUUUCAGUUGACUGAAUUAAAUAAAAAUAUAUUACAAUCAUAUUAUAUAUUAGCAGCAAAAAUAAAAAGAAAUGAAGAAAAACGCAUGCAAGACUUAGACAAGUCAAUUAAAAGCUGGGAGUAUCAUCAGUUCAAUUGGUUAUAAAUAGCGUAGAGCCAUCCUCUCGUUGUUGCAGAACUGAAGCAAAGAGACUCAGAAAGAGUGUGUGUAGGUGAUUAUAAUUAAGAAGAUAUAAUGUGUGGUUCAAAAAGAGUGUGGGUGAGUGAGUUAAUUUUCAUAUUAUUAGUAGUAAAAGGGUGGUGGAGUGAGGGAUGUUUGGAGCAAGAGAGGUCUGCUCUCCUACAACUCAGACAUUUCUUCAAUGAUGAUCAACUUCUUCAAAACUGGGUAGACGAUGAGUAUUAUUCAGAUUGUUGUCAGUGGGAACGGGUUGAGUGCAACAACACCACUGGAAGAGUGAUUGAAUUACAACUACUAGAAACUCGAAAACAGGGAUCAGCAGAGUGGUAUAUGAAUGCCUCUCUGUUUACUCCAUUUCAACAAUUAGAGUCUCUUGAUUUAAUGGGGAACAAUAUAGCCGGUUGUGUUGAAAAUGAAGGUCCUUAAUUUACUCUAUUUUAAUUCUUCCUCGUAAUUUCUUACAUUUAUCUGAUCCCUUUUGAUUUUUGUUUAAUUUGUUCGUGAUACAAUAAAAUUACUUUUUAUUUUUUGUCAGGUCUAGAUAGGUUAUCAAGGUUGAACAACUUGAAGUUUCUUUACUUAAACCUUAACCACUUCAACAACAGCAUCUUUUCAUCCAUAGGUGGUCUUUCAUCACUCAGACGCUUAUCAUUGGCUAGUAAUGAAUUGAAUGGAAGUAUUGAUAUUAAAGGUAAGCAAGCUUCAUCCCUUCUCCCGUGUCCCAUCUUUUGUGGAUCUUAUUUUAUUGACCGGCUGGAAGUAUUGAUAUAAGAUCUGGCUAGACUCUUGCUAGUUUAAGCUUCAAGGAUUUAAAUAUUAUAAAAAUAGGUUUAAGAAAUUAUCAAUAUAUGCAAUUUUCAAUGCUUCUCAUAAUCAGACACAAUUCAAUCUAAUUAUUUUGUAUGUCCUGUCUUCAAAAGUAAAGAAUUGUACACUAAAUGGAAAUCGACAUCGUAGCUUUUUAUUUUUUCUAAUGCUCUUUUUUCGUUAACGAGUUUAUAUCCUAAGAGGGAUUGGAUUGAAAAAAAAAAAGUUUUGAUGUUCAAGGUAGGCCAUAAUAACCCGCAUCUUAUUUGUCUGCCUGUAUCUAAAUUUGUGCACUGAAUUUAGUAUUUUGGUUAUUGUGAAGGGAUCAGAUAUUGGCUUCCAUAGACCAACUUGUAUUUAGUUAAUUAAUUAAUUAACGACAUUUAAUAUUUAACAAAUUAAAAUUUCGUGUUUAAUCUAUUUUAAUUUUUUUAAGAAAAAAGAAAAAGAUAUAGCAAUAGGUAAAGCUAAAAUAAAUUUUAAUUCCUUACAAAUUUAAAUUCAUGGUUGUCAGCUAAAUAUACUUACUUAAAGCCACUCAGUCGAGCCCUUUGAGAGCUGCUUUAAAUUUUUAGCCAUAUUCUUUUCUUAUUAAUAAAAUUCUUUUCGCUGAGAUUUAACAUAAAAAAAGGAGAAAAUAAGUUAUUUAAUUAACUCUGUUUUAAGUGUUGGAAUAAAUACAGGACUGGAAUCCUUGAGUAACUUGGAGGAGCUGGGCAUGAGCGACAAUGCAAUCGACAAUCUAGUGGUUCCUAAAGGUAUACAAAAUGUUCAAAUAUUAAUAAUUUGGAGGACAGUUUAAUUGAUUUGAUUAGGGAAUGCCCAAUGACACUUACCCAAAAUAAUUUAAUCCGAAAUUGUAUCCCAAAUAGAUUACAGAGGUUUGAGGUAGUUGAAUACCUUUUAUUUGGGGAGGGGGGGGGGGGGGGGGGGGGGGGGGGGGAGGGAGGGAAAUUGCAGUGAUAUAUGGAAGCAAGGUGUUGCAAUAAAUAAAGAAAUUCGUUGGUCAAUAUUCAAGGACUCAUCCAAAGUAAUCGUUAAAGUCUAAAGCUCUGCUCUCCUCCAACUCAAACAUUUCUUCAAUGAUGAGAAUUAUUCAGAUUGUUGUCAGUGGGAAGGGGUUGAGUGCAACAACACCACUGGCAGAGUGAUUAAAUUAGAUCUAGGAGCCACUAGGAAUCGGGAAUCAGCAGAGUGGCAUAUGAAAGAUAACUAGAACUUGGAAUAACUUAAAUUAGCUAUAAAAUUAAGACCAUUAUACAACUAAAAAGAAAGAAAAAUUGUUUGCUACUACAUAUCAAAACUAGUAAUAGCAAUGAAAGAUGGCAGACUUCUUACUUAAACAGAUGAGAGGCUACAAAUAAAAAAUUUGUGCAAAUAAAUAUAUGAUAAAGAGCAUAAUACUUUCUUGGGGGCUAAAAAUAAUAUACAACUUGUGAAAUAUAAAUUGAGCUACCAUUACCUUUUAGAUGUGGCAACUUUCGACUUUUGAGGCACUUUGGAAUAUGCAUUCAGAAUCCUGCAUUUGGAAGCCAAAUAAAUAAUGUUAAUAACAAUUUUACAAUAGAAAAAUUAAAAAUUGAUAAAUGGCAGUUGUAAUUUAUGUAUGUGUAAAGAUAGCAUCACAUCCAGGGUCCUCCCAUAAACAUGCUUGUAACAAGAAUUAGUUUGCGUCAACUGCUAGCAACUAUACAAUAGUAAAAAUCACUCUUAUGAACUCAACAAUACUAGGCACCAAUAAGAGUAUGAUACAGCCAUUCUAAAUGGAAGAGAAUACAACUGUUUUACAACUAUGUUGCAUCAGGAGAUAUGUUAGGAGUUUUAAUCCAGAUACCUUCCAACCCAAUUAGGAAAACUCGAGUCAGAAACCAGGAGCUGCAACUGAACCUUACAAUCUUGAAGGAAGAAGGAGACUUGGGGCAUUUUUCUAGAUAGGUGACUUACUAGAUCUACUGCCAAGAAAAUAUCUAUUGCUUUGAACCUCCAUUGAAAUUUCUUUUCCCUUUUUCUUAUUUUGACUUGGAACUUUCCAGCAUCAUCUAUUUGAUCUUUUUUAAAGCUAAAAUAGCAAUCUACGGGUUGUCAACAUCUUAUCCCCCCCCCCCCCCGGGGGCCCCCAAAAAAAAAACAUCAAUGAGUUGUCAAUAAAUAGCGCCUACUCAACUUAUGUUCUCCAAUGGAUGACAAUGUGCAAAUCGACCUAGCAGCCACAUUUUCCCCCCCUUUCAACCACCAUUAGGCAACUUUUCUAACCUUUCUUCAUUGCCCACGUCUACAGAACUAUCAUAUAAAGACUACAAGAUAGACGCACGGUAUCUAAAUAAUUGUACCAACCCCCUCUCCUGAUUGUCAUAAAACGGCCAAUAUUUAACGCUCGACAACAAAAUUGCAAAUACUCUAGCCUCUAUAUUAUUGGCAUAUAAAUAUUUUCGGUUAGGUACAUUAUAUUCUUCGUUCUAAAACCUCAAUUAUUGGCUAGUACUGUGAUAAAAUGAUUCAUCACUGAAAAUAAAACUAGUUCACGUACAAAUAAUCAAAAACUGAAAUAGAAGCAACGAUAAACCAACCUGUAUUACGUCGAUUCAUCACAACAAACUGAAAUCGAGGCUGUGUGUUCCUGAAAAUUGAAAAAAUAAUAAUUUCACCAACUUCAUGUGUAAUACAAUCUCCAAAACACCAAAUAUCAAAUGAAAAAAUGGAAAGCAUAAGAUAGAAAAGAAUCUAAUUUUAUUGACCUUUUGACGACGACGAGAGAGCCUUCAACAUCCUUACGACUCCAUUGGCUGAGGUCGAUGUUGAACUCGUAGAAGGUGACAUGAGCGGCCGUGAUGAGGAUCUCCUCAAUGAAUGGAUCGAUUCGCUGAAGAACUGUCAGGUUUAGGAGUUUUGUGCUCUGCUGGUCCAGAUUAGGCAUCAAUUUUCCGUUAUGCGACAUUUUUCAUAGUCGUUUUGGGCUCUGCCCCGAGCACAAGCCCCAGGGUUUUUCUGUGAGCUCUCUCUUUUGUAAAUAAAGUGUUUGAUGAGAUAGCCGAGAGAGAGUGAAAGUGUUGAACAGCCAAACACGGUCUCGAGAUUGAUCUUGCUUUAACUUCUUUUAAACAUUUGGGAAAUAGCAUUUAUUUCUUUUAGUUUCUCUACUUUUUUUUUCCUUUAUGUCAUUUAGACCCCAAAAUUAGAUUUAUUAUAAUCCUAUUUUACCCAUACACUAUUAACCCCUUUUAUUUUUAAAAUUUGUCAAUAUUAAUGUGUUAGAAUAAUGUUAAAAAUCCCAAUUAUUAUCUCAAUGUUUCAAUCAUAACUAAUGUGAUAACUCAUUGGUAACUGCAACAUUAACUUAAUUAUUAAUGUAACACAAUAAAAGUUUCGUACAGAUUUUGAUAUUGAGAGUAACACAAUAAAAGUUUCAUACAGAUUUUGCAAACGAAAAGCACAUAAUACACUUAACUAGGAGGAAAAAUUAAGGUGUAUAUAUUACAAACUGCUAACAAUAUACAAUUGUAAAAAUCACUCACAAAUACUAGGCACCAAUAAGAGUAUGAUACAGCCAUUCUAAAUGAAAGAGAAUACAACUGUUUUACAACUAUGUCACAUCAAGAGAUAUGUUAGCAGGAUUAAUCCAGAUACCUUCGAACCCAAUUAACGAACUCGAGUCAGAAACCAGGGGCCCCCAACUAAACCUUACAAUCUUGAAGGAAGAAGGAGACUCGUGGUCCAGAUAGGUGACUUACUAGAUCUCCUGCAAAAGAGAAUAUCUAUUGCUUUGAACCUCCAUUGAAAUUUUUUUUUCCCUUUUUCUUGUUUUGACUUGGAACUUUCCAACAUCAUCUAUUUGAUCUUUUUUGAAGGUAAAAUAGCAAUCUAUAGGUUGCCAACAUGUUAUUCUGCCAAACCCCACCCCACCCCCCCGGGGGACAACAAAUCGACCUAGCACACACCUUUCUUCAUUGCCCACACCUACAGAACUAUAAUAAAAAGACUACGUUACUAUUGGGGUAGAGAAAAUAUACAGACUGUAUUAUUAUUACAUCGCAUUUUACUAAUUAACUAGUGCAAGACUUCUUUAGUGUCAAAUCAAGAACUAAUUAGAAAAGACAACUCAUGAUAAUACAGACCUUAAUAAGCAAUUGCUAACAACAUCCCAUAUACUCCUAUUUUAGCCUUCAUUAUCCUGGUAAAAACACAAAUAAGUCUUGCAAACGAACAUUUAUAAGUAAAUUCAACAUUAAUUAAGAUUAGGUAUCUACUGCACCUAAUAGCAUGGUCAACCAUCCAGUUCCUGUAGCCUUCCAUGUACCUAUGUUAGUUACAUUUUACAUAUUAAGCCACGAAAACGAAGAAUCACAGCCUGGUAAAGAAAGACAUUAAUUAAUAGUUUUUGUUUAAAAAGUUCUCCUUUAGAUCUUUCCUAUUCAAUGAAUCAAUGUAAUCUAAAGAGAAUUCUUCCAUUUCAAACAGUGUUAGAAGGUAUUUGCAAAGCCUAAAGAUAAUAUACAAGGACCAAGAUAUACACAGAUGGUUUCUUUAUGGAAUUAAAGAGCUUUAUAGAUGUUAAAACUGUUUCAAACAAUUUUUCUUGUUUGGUUUAACUAAGGAAAAGCUUGUGGAAGAUUAAAAAUGAUGUUUCCUAUUCUCUGUAGGAAACUUUUAGGAGAUUUUUUGGGCUUUUUUGAAAGGUUGAAUUGUCAAAAAUACCUUGAUGUUAUUGUUUGCUAAAAGAUGUUACGGACAUCUAAACAACCAACAACAUUUUGUUAAAAGCUCUACUAGUGUAGGAUCUACUUAAAGAAGCUAUACCAAACAGACUCUUAGACUGAAUAACUCGAUCUUAAGUUUGUAAAAUUGGGCUCAGAAUCUCCACUAACAACCCCGCUUCGGUGAGAAAGCCCAAGCCUGUUACUUUGUAUAACCUUAUUCUGUAUGUUUGAUUGCAGGAACUGGCCGAUCAUACCGACGAGGUGAGUGUGCAACAUGAGGUGCUUGACGGGAUGUUUACUUUCUAUGAUACAACUAAAGCUAGCCUCAACAUAUAUCAGGUGCCUGCUUGUUUUUACCUUCUAGAUACUAAUAUUGUUUAGACGUGUAAUCUCUCUCUCCAUUGAACGCUAGACGGCUCGUCUCAAGCCUUCUACGUACUUCAGAGUCCUUCACUAGCUUUUUAUGUAUAAAGUUUUGAUCUUUUUCCUUCAUUUGCUUGAAGCUCAUUACUGCAGAUUUUUUUUACAGGUUGGUAGUGUAACAUUCGACUUGCUGUUGCUUCUAGUCUUGGGAUCGUAUUUAAUUGUGCUUUUCAGCUUUCUUGUCAUAACAACUAGGGUAUCACUCUUUCUCCAUAUCAAGCUUGAAGUUCUAAAUUUCAGUUUUAUCUUUUAUUUGAUGUUUUAUAAUUUCAUUGCAAACAGAUUAGAAUAGAAACUUCAAAAGUUCCAACUGACUAGUCCCGUGUAACUUUUUCAGGGAAGAUUUUCUCUCAUAACAACUACGAACGUGUUAUGGUUUAGCCCAGUGACACAAAGGACAGUUUUCAACAAUUGAUCCUAGGAAGAUGCCCAUAGCUUGUUGUGCCAAAAAUAGAAAAUCUAAGAUGCGAAAAAAUUUUGUUGAGAUUCAUUUUUCAUCCUGAUGUUACCGCUGGCCUUUUUUUUUUUUUUUUUUGGCAGAGAAUAAUGCUUAUGUGAUUUCUGAACUUGGUGAUUGUUGAAAUGAGCUGAAAAUGAGCUGGAAAUGUGUUUGGUUAAUGAGAAAGAGAGCAAGAAAAUGAAAGAAAUCUAUUUCACUUUUUAUUUAUCAGCAUGAUUACAUUCACAAUGAAUCUAAGCUGCUAUUUAUACUUAAAUGACUACACACGAGAAUCUUCUUGCUAGAUACUUCUAGAAACUCUACACGCACACUCACACUGAGCUAGUGGUUACCAAAACCGUUACAACGAUAUUGCCAGCUCAGCAUAACCAACUUAUAACUAACACACUCAGCUGCAGGGGAAACCAUCAAGCUUACUGUGCGUCCUCUGUAAUCAAGCUUCUUUAAGCAUGCUCUGCAGAUCAUACGUCUGAAUUAUCGAAACAAGAUGAAUUAUUUUUUGUUUAUUGCAGCAGGCGAUCAAUGAGCGGAAUUUCUAGCUUGUAUUCAAUUCGCGAACACAGUUUGAGAAGAAUCAGACCAUUAAUUUUCUUUUGAGCCAAUCAACAGAAUGUACAUUUCUUCUAAGAACUUGUAACCGAAACCGCAGUUUUUCAGGUUUGAUGCAUCUGGGAAAAUUGUCAGAUGGAAUAAAACCACCAUGCGCCAAGGUACCAAUGAUGUUUCUUCCAGCUUAUGAGCACUUCAAAUAAACUUAGGUCAUAUUUACACAAGGGCGCACAUGAUAUCAAUCUAAUGGCAAUUAUAUCAUCUAAAAUCCAAAACCAAGAGUCUCCCAUUUUCCCGCCCUCUACUCUGUUCGUAUUAUCAUAACUUGAAGAUUGCAAGGCAGCCGCAAUCUCCCAGAUCUUUGCUCCUUCCUCAUAGCAGUUAGUCAAACGAUAAACAGAGAUAUCCCAUGUCAACAAGAAGGUAAUCAUAAAAGAACAACAGAAUUGUUGCAAUAUAUUCAUAUGAAAUGUAAAACAAUUUUGAGAAAAAAUAUUGGGAAGAUGAUUUUUUUUUUCAUAGAAGUUGCAAUCUUUACGUUAUAUGCUAGUUUGACUAUGCUAUAUAAGGAAGCUAUAUGAAAUUAGAAAAAUAAGCUAUACUAGGAAAGAAUAAAUAUAUGUACAGAAAAUGAGGCUAUAAUCCCUGACUUUCAACAAAUUUAAUAUCAAUUUUCUUCUGGAAGUUGUCUCAAAUGGGGUGCAUCAGUAUUGUAACAUACUGUGAGAUGCUUAAACUCAACAAUAUAAGCAUGGUAAAUUAGAGAAAAAUGAUGCAAUUUUACCUUCCCAUUCAUGUAUGCCAAGGCUUUUUGGGCUUCCUCUUCUGUACUGAAAGUCACAUACCCGUAACCUUUUGAUCUAUUCUUACCUUUAUCCAUUAUUAUUGUAGCUGCAAAAAGAAAAGAACCGGAUAUUACAAAAUAGUGAAAGGGAAGAGGGGUUGAGACUUAAAACAGAAAUAGACCAAACCCUCAGUGACUUGGCCAAAUUGUGAAAAAGCAUCAGCUAACAUCUCUUUAGUGGUCGAGAAAGAUACGCCUGCAAAGAAUGCCAGUUAAUUUUAUCAUAAUUAGAUGGUAAGAUUGCAAAUUCUGCAGCCAAAGGUGGUACGGAACUGAAUGAAGGAAAUCAAAUAUGAAUAUGUUUUCAAUCUUAAAAUAUUAAGAGUAGCAUAAGUAACUUGUGAAACAGUUAUAAGUUCAAGGGAAUUAGAUGAUGGCAUGGUUGAAUUUUAUAAAUAUUUGAUAUUUUGGACCGAACAGGGCAAACAGAUGGAUCCAGAUAAUCAAGAAAAACAUCAAUUCCAUGCAGCCAAAUUAGUGUGGGCAAUGCAAUUGAGCAACACUAUAAAAUUAUUCAAAGAAAUCUCUAGGUCAGUAUCCAAAUAUAUGGCUCCGUCCGUUCCACCACCACAACCAAAAAAAUCAGAUCCCCCCAUUUGGAUUCGAUUGAUUAAUUUGAGCAUAAAAAAUCGGGUUUUAAACUUCCCUAAGCAAAAUUUAUAUUCCACAGAAUCAGUUCCUUUAACAUGAUGCAUUACAUAAUAUUUUGUUUGCAAAAUAAAGAAGAAAGAUGACAUAAUAGAAACACUCACAGAGAGAGAAUACCUUUGACGAAAAGCUUAGAAGUGAAUCCUCUGUAAAAUACGAGUUGAGCUGCUGAAUUUUUCGAGUUUGAAUGAGAGACUGCGGCAAUUCUGAAAAUGUUUUUUUCUCAUUAGCGCCGCCAUUUUUGUAAUAGAGGGUAAAGAAAUAAGUAACAAAGUAAGAGGUGAGCAGAAGCGGCCCAAUUUAGUUAUAUGCCAUGCAUGCGAUCAAAAUUGAAUGGUUAAAUGGCAGCCACUAUGUUACAUCUUGUGUAAGUAACAAACCGCCUACAUGGAUCGUUGGAUUUGGGAAUAUGAAAUCCAAUGGAUAAUAUUGAAUUUAACGAAAAAUAGAUUACAGGUUGCAUUAGUCCAAGUUUAUUUCAAACAAACCAGCUGAUGAAAUAGCCGCUAAUCGAAUUUAAAAGGGAAAAAAAAUCAAAUUAUAGGUUAUAGAUCUUAUUUCCAUCUUAAAUCUAUGUCUUUCAUGGUGACUCAAUGUGUAUACUAAUUUAUAAUUUGGAUCUAUAUUAGAGGCUUAGAGCCAAUGCUUCCCUAAAUAACUAAGAAAAUUUUCUUUUCAUUGAUUAAAUAUUUAUUUCCAAUAUCUUGUAUAUGUAGGAUUUGAAAAGAGGGAAAAUAGUAGGGAUGAUGAUGAGAGAAGAUAAAGAUGUCGAUUCUCAAAUCUAAUAUUAAUGCUAUACUUAUAUUCCUAUAGUAAAUAAAUUAUCCAAGGUUCGUGGUUAAUGAUACGUUGCGAAAUUUUAACUGUCUAAUAUGGCUUUUCAUAAAGCUUAGAGAAAAGUAGGGCUUUUACAAAAAAAAAAAUUUAAUUAGAAUUGUCAAUGAUAAAUUUUAAAAAGUACUUUAAUAAAUAAGCUUUUAAAAUUAUAUAUAUUAUGAAAGAAAUGAAAUAAGAUUAUAUAAUAAAUUAAGAGUAUCUUAGAUAAUUGAACUUUAAAAAUAAAACUUGCUAAGAGGUUUAAAAUUUGAGUUUUUAAUAGUGGAUACAAAAUAGUUUAUUUAAUUCUCAAAAGUACUAUUCAAAAUACAACCAUGUAACACAAAAAUUUUUAAUAAGUUUUUUGGACUAGUUAAGUACUUUUUUUGAAAAAAAAUAUAUUUUUUUCAUUGAGUAAAUAAUACUAAACAUGCACUAAAGUGUUAGGACCAGAAGUUGUACAAAUAAAACCAUGAAAUUAUAUGUUGUUGGAUGGAUAUUUUUCAAAUUUGCUGUAGUUUUUUUUUUUUAAUUUUCUGCUGGGAAAUUGAAAUGAUGGCUACAACUUAAAUUAUGAAUGGAGUAAUCGGAGAAUAUUGAAACCCAUUUAAUUUGGAUCGUGCAUUGAGGGACGAAAGGAUAAAAAAUUUAAUUUUGAAAUUGCUGUUGGGUACGGUACAAUGACUUACCGUUGACAGCUUUUGCAACCGGAUUACAAUCGGUUAGUUCAAUAAUUUUAUAUCCCUAUUUAACCGCCACGUGCUGCUGUUACAUGGGUCAAUUAAUCAUGUCUUUACCGAUACUUACAACUGCUGGUUAAAUUCUGUUGUUUCCAAUAAUUUUAUGCUGUAUCUUCUUUAAUAAUAAAGAAAACUUGCAUUAAAAUUAAAAUUAGGGUAAUACCUGAUUUUAUAAAUAGAUUGCAAUGUAAUUUUGAAAAAUAAAACAAUAAUUUACAAAAUGUUUAUAACAUAAUUUUAAUUUUUUUCAAAAAGGAAAAACAACAAAAGUAAGAAAUAGAGAAUAAGGGCUACCAACUUUGUAUCUUAAACGGCCGUUAAAUUAUUUGUAAAUGAAAGCAACGGUCAGAUAUUGGUGGAUUAUGGAAACAUGUAAUCAUAAGGACUACGAGUUUUUUUUGUUACAUUGAUAUAUUACAAUUAAAAUUCUAUUGGUAUUUACAACUAGAAUUUCAUCUGACUAUCUUUGAUAAUUCUAAACUAGUACAGCCCAAAUUCUUAUUCUCAUAUAAUAUCAAAGAUAGAUAUAUAUUCUUUUCCUCCAUUAAUAACGAGACAUUUUUACUUCUAUCCAAUUUAAAUAGAACAAGAAUUAAGUCAUUUUAAUAGUUAGGACUCAGAACUCAUACACACUAGUUUGAGAGUGUGGGGUGUGACAAUGGGCCAAGAGACCAUUGACAAGUACAAAAGAGUGGUAGAAAUUAAUUCAAACCGCUACACACGCUAUUGCAACCAAAUUGAGGGCCCAUUUUUGUUUAUUUCGUUGAAAAGUAGUCUGUAAAAUUAACUCAAACCGCUACAUACGCUAUUGCAACCCAAUUGAGGGCCCAUUUUUGUUUAUUUUGUUGAAAAGCAGUUUGCGCAAUUAAUUCAAACUGCUACACACGCUAUUGCAUCUUUUGAAAAAGAAAAAUGGAAUAGUUUUUCAAAAUUAGUUUAGAGAAUAAGAUUUACUAAUAAUGAUGUUAGAAAUCUUAAUAUUUGAAUCUUAAUAUUAUCUAUCACUCGUUUAUUAAAUAAUAGAUUUCAUAGUUUGUAAAAUUACUUAACCACUUGAUAAAUGUUAUAUUUGUUGGGACUAGAUUGGGACUUAAAUAUUGGAAUAUCUAGUAUUGCAUAAAAAAAAAAAAACUUAACAAUUUAUCUUCACACGACUAAUUGUUUUUACAUCACAACUAACCUUAAUUAUUUUAAAAGUUAUAGUAUUAUUAAAUUGCCCUAACUAGUUAUCAAAAGGUGAAAGCAUGUUUAAAAAAGAAAUUACUAAGAAACAUUUGUUUAAACGAAGGUUAAGGUUAUGAUCAAUUAAUUAAGAAGAAACUUACUAUCAAAGGUUAAGAUUAUGAACAAUUUAAGGAAGUUAUUGAGUAGAGAAAGGGACAGAAUGGUUGUCUGAUUUGUCGGUGACAAGAAUGCUUGUGUUGUGAAAAGAAAGCCGAUGGUUUGUAAAUUUGUUGAAUUGGUCCCAAUUAGUAUAGUAACCAUCUAUUGAGCGGUAAAAUAUUAAUUUAAAUAGUCAUGAAAUCUAAUAUAUAAUAGAUUACUAACACACAUAAAUUAAAACUUAAUUGUCAGAAAUCAUAACAUUAUUCUAAGCUUCAGUGGAGUUCUCUUAACAGAUUAUGUGAGAUUGCCUAUAUUAAAAAUAUGUUGAGACUGCUUGUUGAAAGCAAUAUUCGCUUUUCCAUUAUAUCCAUAACUUUGAAUUGAUAAAGUUGUAUUCAGCAGCUCUUGAAAAGACUAAUUUAUUUUAACUAGUCAUAGAAAUAAGAGAGAAAAGGGGCUAUUUCUUGACUCAAAGUCAAUUAUAAUUAUCAAAACUUGAGGGGACAUCGCAUGCCUAAAUUCCACGCACCCUAAUACGGUUUGAUUUGCUUUCACGCGUUCAUGAAUUUCCAUGAAAGAGCCUGCCUUUCGUCUCUUUCGGGACAGUGACUACAAUAAUGGAAAAAAUUAUAAUUCUCGUUAGAUUGUAACCAAAUUAUUAUCCCUAAUUUUUUUAAGUUACAUAUAAUAAAAUUCAUGCUUAAGUAUUUAGUAAUUAGAGAGAGAUAGAGAGGAUUGAGGGCCAAUGUUUCGCGAUUUGGGGUCAAUUCAAAGUCAACUAACGUGAAAAACACGUGUAUGCAUAGAAAACGCUUAGAUUAUUUGUGUUCCAAGUGCAAGAAAUUAAGAAAAGAAAAAUUGAUUUCCUUUCAUGAACUUCCAAGAAAGAAAGAAGACCCUUCACCUUCUUCGUUACAACAAAUGAAUGAAUGAUGUUGAUAUGACAAAUACAAGCGCUAUUACAGGGAACAACAUAAGACUGAGACUUGAUAAAGUGUUUGUUAAAUUACAUGUUAUUUUCUUUUAACUUGAAUGAUGUUGAAAAUAAAAUAAAAUAAAAUUGUAAUCAGGGUGAUGUGUGGAAUAUAGUGAAAUAAAUAAAUAGAGAAGAGAAAUUUGUUGAUCAAUAUUAAAGACACAUCCAAAGUGAUCGUCAAAGUCUAGAGGUUCGGUAUGAUUAGCAUUUAUUUUAUUUUUUUUGGCUUAGCAUCAUAUAUAGUCACCUGUCGUGUGAUCUAGGACAGGUUUAGAAAUCCUUUUAUUUUAACUUCUGUAUUCUUAUUAUUUAAUUAGUUAUAGGGUUUUUAAGUAUUUGAGUAUUGAUCACAUGUCUCCUAAUCUAAAAAUAUGUUUUUACGAGUACAAAUAACAAACUAGGAUUUUAACAGCCUUUUAUACUAAACCCUAAAAAUACAUGAAUUUAUCAAAAUAAGUAAAUUAAUUUAAAUUAGUAUGGCAUAGUAGAAGUUUUACCUGCCGAAACAAAUUAAAAAAAUAUUACACUUAAAUCAAAUAUUGACAAAAAUAGAUAACAAUCUAAUGAGAAUCUUAACUAGACAUUUUUACUUCUAUCCAAUUUAACUGGAAUGAGAAUUAAGUCAUGUCAAUAGUUAGGACUCAUAACUCAUACACACUAAUUUGAGAGUGUGGGGUGUGACAAUGGGUCAAAAGACCAUUGACAAGUAUAAAAGAGUGGUCGUAAUUAAUUCAAACCGCUACACACGCUAUAUUGAGGGCCCACUUUUGUUUAUUUCGUUGAAAAGUAGUUUUCACAAUUAAUUCAAACUGCUACACAUGCUAUUGCGUUUUUUUUUUUUUUUUUUUUUUUGAAGGGAAGCAAUUUCAUUAAACCAAAACGAAUUACAGACUAUGUAAUAACCACAAAGGUGGAACGAAAUUCCACUCUUGGGGACCUGACAUAGAACCUACUGCCCUUGCAACAGAGUGAGCAGCCAGGUUCGUAGACCGACGUACAAACGAGAAUUGUACUUCUCCUAAAGACUUAGCUAAAGCUCGACAUUCAUCAACUAUUAAACCAAAACCGUUAGGCCCUGAAAACUCCUCAACUAGAGCUUGAAAUACUUGUAAACAAUCAGUUUCAACAAUGACACAAGGAAAUUGUAAGCCUUUAAGCCAACUAAGGGCCUCCCGAAUACCAAGAGCUUCAGCCUCCCUUGCUCCAAAAUUCCCAGCCAUUCCAGCACAUCUUGCUGUUAAGAAAACACCCUCUGAAUUUCGAAGCACACACCCAAAACCAAUAUUUCCCUGAGAUGAAAAGAUAGCAGCGUCAACAUUACGUUUGACCCAACCAAACUUUGGCCUCUCCCAACAUAUUGCCCCAUGGACCAGCUUAUGGACAUCAGUAUCAGCAUAGAAUUGUUGCUUCUUUGCUGCUUGCCACUGAUAGAGAAGUUGCCCAGCAGAAUUGAGCACUUGAUUCACUGAACCAGUUUUGUUAUUCCAUACUUUGUCAUUCCGAUUAAUCCAAACUCUCCAGCAGAUCAUCAUGGCAACAUGGCAUUCUUCUUUGCUGCAGCGUGUAAAGAUGUGAUCAAGCCACUCUAAGAAAGAAUAACAAUGGCCAACAAAACCCACAGAGGAAGAAAUCCAGCAAGCCUUAGCAACAUUACACUCAACCAACGAAUGGAGAAUAGUUUCAUCAGAAGCAAGACACACAGCACAAGUAGGGGGGAUAUUCACCCUCUUAGAAAUUAAAUUAACUGCAGUAGGCAGCACAUUAGUUGCCGCUCGCCAAACAAAAUUCUUAACCUUAUUCGGCACAUUCAAGUUCCAUAGUUUUCGCCACACAUCUGUGAAAGGGCCAGGGGUAAGAGAAUGUAAAACGUUAUAACAGCUACGGACUGAAUAGCAUCCGCGAGAAUCAGCCAACCAAUACCACACAUCAUCAUUUCGGCGGGAACUAAGGGGAAUUUGAAGAAUCAACUCCUUGUCUCUUGCGUUGAAAAGAUCCAAAACAAGAUCAUAAUCCCAAGCUCGUUGAUUAGGCACCAGUAAACUACUAACAGGAGCUGCAGCAAGCUCGGCAUGGAGAUUAGAAGGAACAAAUCCAUUAUUAGUAUCAGGAAGCCACGGAUCCUUACCAAUGAAGAUCGAAUUUCCACAGCCAACUUGCAGUCUACUCCCUUGAAUUACCACAUCCUUUGCAGCCAAAAUAGAGCGCCACAUAUAGCUAGGAUUAUGCCCCGCAGAAGCUUGAAGAACAGAGGUGCGCGGAUGGUAGCGAGCUUUAAUUAUCUUGGCCACAAGAGAUUCCGGACAAGUUAACAGCUUCCACAUUUCCUUUCCUAACAUCGCUAUAUUGAAUAAAUGAAGUUGUUUAAAACCAAGGCCACCAUAUCCUUUUGGUUUGCACAGAUUUUCCCAUUUGGACCAGUUUAAAAAAGAAAAAUGGAAUAGUUUUCCAAAAUUAAUUCAGAGAAGAAGAUUUACUAAUAAUGAUGUUAGAAAUCUUAAUAUUAUGUAUCACUCAUUUAUUAAAUAAUAGAUUUCAUAGUUUGUAAAUUUACUUAACCACUUGAUAAAUGUUAUAUUUGUUUGAAUUGAUCCAAUAGCUCUUGAAAAGCACAUAAUAAUCAUUAUAAAUUUAAUCAAAGACUAAGCAGGUCUUCUUUGCAUUUGAUCACUGGCAUUUCAGUUAAGUUUGUCAUUUAUUUAAAUUUUUCUUGCUUUCAAUUUCCACUGUUGUUUUUUUUAAUAAAAUAAUUUAUUUAAACUAGUCAUAGAAAUAAGAGAGAAAGGGCGCCAUUUCUUGACUCAAAGUCAAUUAUAAUUAUCAAAACUUGAGCGGACAUUGCAUGCCUAAAUUCCACGCACCCUAAAACGGUUUGAUUUGCUUUCACGCGUUCAUGAUUUUGCAUGAAAGAGAGUGCCUCUCGUCUCUUUCCGGACAGUGACUGCAAUUAUGUUAACGUGACGAAUACAAAACGUUAUUACAUACAAGAAUAAGUUUUUGGAGCCGAUACUUGAGGGAGGUUCUAUCUAAUUCUAAAGAUUGUAACCAAAUCAUUAUCCCUAAUUUUUUUAAGUUAAAUAAAAUAAAAUUCAUGCUUAAGUAUAAAUAAUUUUUUUAAGUUAAAUAUAAAAUAAAAUUCAUGAACUUCCUAGAAAGAAAGAAGACCCUUCACCUUCUUCGCGACAACAAAUGAUGUUGACAUGACAAAUACAAGCUCUAUUACAGGGAACAGCAUGAGACCGAGACUUGAUAAAUAUUAAAUAUAUAAAAUAAGUGGAGCAAACGAACAGAAUAAUAGAUUUUUAUAAUAUUCUUCAUAAAAAUCCAAGUUUUGAGCUGGCCUAUAAGCUUAUCUAGUGAAGUCUGGGUAUCCGCGUUGCCCAAGGUUCCGUUUGAAUCCAGGCCGUGUAGAUGUUUAAGACAUCGCAUAUGGACGGAGUGGAAAUAUUUUCAGUUGACUGAAUUAAAUAAAAAUAUAUUACAAUCAUAUUAUAUAUUAGCAGCAAAAAUAAAAAGAAAUGAAGAAAAACGCAUGCAAGACUUAGACAAGUCAAUUAAAAGCUGGGAGUAUCAUCAGUUCAAUUGAUUAUAAAUAGCGUAGAGCCAUCCUCUCGUUGUUGCAGAACUGAAGCAAAGAGACUCAGAAAGAGUGUGUGUAGGUGAUUAUAAUUAAGAAGAUAUAAUGUGUGGUUCAAAAAGAGUGUGGGUGAGUGAGUUAAUUUUCAUAUUAUUAGUAGUAAAAGGGUGGUGGAGUGAGGGAUGUUUGGAGCAAGAGAGGUCUGCUCUCCUACAACUCAGACAUUUCUUCAAUGAUGAUCAACUUCUUCAAAACUGGGUAGACGAUGAGUAUUAUUCAGAUUGUUGUCAGUGGGAACGGGUUGAGUGCAACGACACCACUGGAAGAGUGAUUGAAUUACAACUACUAGAAACUCGAAAACAGGGAUCAGCAGAGUGGUAUAUGAAUGCCUCUCUGUUUACUCCAUUUCAACAAUUAGAGUCUCUUGAUUUAAUGGGGAACAAUAUAGCCGGUUGUGUUGAAAAUGAAGGUCCUUAAUUUACUCUAUUUUAAUUCUUCCUCGUAAUUUCUUACAUUUAUCUGAUCCCUUUUGAUUUUUGUUUAAUUUAUUCGUGAUACAAUAAAAUUACUUUUUAUUUUUUGUCAGGUCUAGAUAGGUUAUCAAGGUUGAACAACUUGAAGUUUCUUUACUUAAACCUUAACCACUUCAACAACAGCAUCUUUUCAUCCAUAGGUGGUCUUUCAUCACUCAGACGCUUAUCAUUGGCUAGUAAUGAAUUGAAUGGAAGUAUUGAUAUUAAAGGUAAGCAAGCUUCAUCCCUUCUCCCGUGUCCCAUCUUUUGUGGAUCUUAUUUUAUUGACCGGCUGGAAGUAUUGAUAUAAGAUCUGGCUAGACUCUUGCUAGUUUAAGCUUCAAGGAUUUAAAUAUUAUAAAAAUAGGUUUAAGAAAUUAUCAAUAUAUGCAAUUUUCAAUGCUUCUCAUAAUCAGACACAAUUCAAUCUAAUUAUUUUGUAUGUCCUGUCUUCAAAAGUAAAGAAUUGUACACUAAAUGGAAAUCGACAUCGUAGCUUUUUAUUUUUUCUAAUGCUCUUUUUUCGUUAACGAGUUUAUAUCCUAAGAGGGAUUGGAUUGAAAAAAAAAAAAGUUUUGAUGUUCAAGGUAGGCCAUAAUAACCCGCAUCUUAUUUGUCUGCCUGUAUCUAAAUUUGUGCACUGAAUUUAGUAUUUUGGUUAUUGUGAAGGGAUCAGAUAUUGGCUUCCAUAGACCAACUUGUAUUUAGUUAAUUAAUUAAUUAACGACAUUUAAUAUUUAACAAAUUAAAAUUUCGUGUUUAAUCUAUUUUAAUUUUUUUAAGAAAAAAGAAAAAGAUAUAGCAAUAGGUAAAGCUAAAAUAAAUUUUAAUUCCUUACAAAUUUAAAUUCAUGGUUGUCAGCUAAAUAUACUUACUUAAAGCCACUCAGUCGAGCCCUUUGAGAGCUGCUUUAAAUUUUUAGCCAUAUUCUUUUCUUAUUAAUAAAAUUCUUUUCGCUGAGAUUUAACAUAAAAAAAGGAGAAAAUAAGUUAUUUAAUUAACUCUGUUUUAAGUGUUGGAAUAAAUACAGGACUGGAAUCCUUGAGUAACUUGGAGGAGCUGGGCAUGAGCGACAAUGCAAUCGACAAUCUAGUGGUUCCUAAAGGUAUACAAAAUGUUCAAAUAUUAAUAAUUUGGAGGACAGUUUAAUUGAUUUGAUUAGGGAAUGCCCAAUGACACUUACCCAAAAUAAUUUAAUCCGAAAUUGUAUCCCAAAUAGAUUACAGAGGUUUGAGGUAGUUGAAUACCUUUUAUUUGGGGAGGGGGGGGGGGGGGAGGGAGGGAAAUUGCAGUGAUAUAUGGAAGCAAGGUGUUGCAAUAAAUAAAGAAAUUCGUUGGUCAAUAUUCAAGGACUCAUCCAAAGUAAUCGUUAAAGUCUAAAGGUCUGCUCUCCUCCAACUCAAACAUUUCUUCAAUGAUGAGAAUUAUUCAGAUUGUUGUCAGUGGGAAGGGGUUGAGUGCAACAACACCACUGGCAGAGUGAUUAAAUUAGAUCUAGGAGCCACUAGAAAUCGGGAAUCAGCAGAGUGGCAUAUGAAUGCUUCUCUGUUUUCUCCAUUUCAACAAUUAGAAUCUCUUGAUUUAACUGGGAACAAUAUAGCCGUUUGUGUUGAAAAUGAAGGUCCUCAAUUUACUCUACUCUAAUUCUCCCUCGUAAUUUCUAGCAUUUAUCUGAUCCCUUUUAGCUUGUGUUUAAUUUGUACGUGAUACAAUAAAAUUAGGUUUUAUUUUUUAUUUUUUAUUUUUUGGCAGGUCUAGAUAAGUUAUCAAGGUUGAACAACUUGAAGUCUCUUUAUUUAGACUUUAACCACUUCAACAACAGCAUCUUUUCAUCUCUAGGUGAUCUUUCAUCACUCAAACACUUUUCAUUGGCUGGUAAUGAAUUGAAUGGAAGUAUUGAUAUUGAAGGUGAGUAAGCUUCAUCCCUUCUCCCGUGUCCCAUCUUUUGUGGAUCUUAUUUCAUUGAGCAGCUGGAGGUACUGAUGUUAGAUCUAGCUAGACUCUUGCUAGUUUAGGCUUCAAGGCUUCGAUUACUAUAAAAAUAGGUGUAAGAAAUCAUCAAUACAUGCAAUUUUCAGUGCUUCUCAAAAUCAGACACAGUUUAGUCUAAUUAUUUUGUAUGUCCCGUCUUUAAAAGUAAAGAAUUGUAUUGUAAUUGGAAAUCGACAACGUAGCUUUUCAUUUUCUGUAAUGCUCUUUCUUCGUUAACAAGUUUAUAUCUUAAGAGAGAUUGGAUUCGGAAAAAGUUUUCACGCUCAAGGUAAGCCAUAAUAACUUCUUUCUUCGUUAACAAGUUCAUUAGUUCAAUUGGCAACUGUUUUUUAAGUUUUUCUGGUUAGCCGUAUACUUUUUUGCUUAUUAAUAAAAUUCUUUUGCGCCGAGAUUUAAAAAUAAAGGAGGAGAAAAUAAGUUAUUUAAUUAACCUUGUUUUAAGUGUUGGCAUAAAUACAGGACUGGAUUCCUUGAGUAACUUGGAGGUGCUGGACAUGAGCUUCAAUGCAAUCGACAAUCUUGUGGUUCCUAAAGGUAUACAAAAUGUUCAAAUAUUAAUAAUUUGGAGGACAAUUUAAUAGAUUUGAUUAGGGAAUGCCCAAUGACACUUAUCCAAAAUAAUUUAAUCCGAAAUUGUAUCCCAAAUAGAUUACAGAGGCUUGAGGAAGUUGAAUACCCUUGUCUUAGGGGGAACGGAAAUUGCAAUGAUAGAUGGAAGUAAGGCGUUGCAAUCAAUAGGAUCACUACUGUCCCUCAAAACACUUUACCUUUUGUAUACUAAUUUUACAGGAACAGUAGUUAAUCAAGGUAAGUAAAUCUUUUAUGUCGAAAAUAAUUGAAUUAAUAUAUAUAGCUAAAAUUUAUUGUUUCUAUUUCUUUCUAAAUAGAAUUACACAAUUUCACCAACUUGGAAGAAUUGAUAUUGGUCGAGUCUGAUCUCCAUGUAAGCCAGCUUCUGCAAAGCAUCGCAUCAUUCACUUCGUUAAAGUAUUUGUCAAUGCAAGUUAGUGUACUCAAGGGUGCCCUGCAUGGUCAAGGUAAAUUACGGGUAUCUGAAGCUUUUGUGAUAUUAAUUCGAUAAUGAUUCUUUCUUUUCAAGUUUAUUUUCUCCCGUAAAAUAAUAUUUUUUUCUUUUAAAUUUUAUAUACUUUCACUGUCCAAUAGUUCUACCUUCUCUAAAUUGUAGGAUUCUUGAUUAAGGUUAAUGAAUUUUUAGUUCUGUUAUGUUAAGAAUAUUUCGAUCGCUUAGAAGAGUAAGGAAAAAUAAGUAAAUUAACCCAAAAAAGAGAAAAGAACAGGACCGGAUUAUCCUUAUUCCCUUGCAUUAUGUGAUCAAUAUCAAAAUUAUAACCAUUUCUUGUUUAUUGCUUGUAGAUUUUCAUAAAUUCAAGAAUUUGGAACAUCUGGACAUGGAUUGGGUGCAGGUUAACGUCAACACCAGUUUUUUUCAAAUUGUCGGCGAAUCGAUGCCUUCUCUCAAGUUUUUAUCACUGGCAAAUUCAAGUCUUAAUAAAAACACCAUUCUUGAUCAAGGUUAAUUAAUGAUUCUCCUUCUCCCUCUCUCGCAUCAUAACUAAAUUUAAUUGAGAAUAUCUAUAAUGCUAGCUAUUUAUAAACUUAAUGAAAGUUGAUGAGGAGCCAUAUUAAUGACAAAAACAACUGUAAAAUAGUGCGCUGUUGUAGCGUUGAUUGAAAAAUAAUGCUAAUGUUUUACUUAACAACACUAUAAGUGAUCAAACUUAAUUUUUAAUGUGUACUUUAAAGAUUUUAUGCAAUUAUUUAAGUUUUAUGCAAUUAUAUUUUUCAGGACUUUGUCGGUUAGUGCAUCUGCAAGAGUUAUACAUCAGCGGUAAUGAUUUGAGAGGUAGCUUGCCAUGGUGCUUGGCAAACAUGACAUCCCUCCAAGUGUUAGAUGCCUCUUCUAAUCAACUUACUGGAAACUUUUCCCCAGGCCUUUGUGAGUUGGUGCUUCUGAGAGAGUUAUACAUUCACAACAAUGAUUUAAGAGGUAGCUUGCCUUUGUGCUUGGCAAAUUUGACUUCCCUUCGAGUAUUAGAUGUCUCUUACAAUCAACUUACUGAAAACAUCUCAUCUUCCCUCAUGCAUCUAAUAUCUAUGGAAAAGCUCAUACUUUCAAAUAAUCACUUCUUCCAAAUCCCUAUUUCACUUAAACCACUUUUCAAUCUCUCAAAACUCAAGACUUUCGAGGGUGAAAUAUGCGCAGAAACUGAGUCACAUUAUAAUUCUUUGACCCCAAAAUUCCAAUUGACUUCUAUCUCACUGUCUGGUUACAUAGAUGGUGGCACAUUUCCCAAAUUCUUGUACCAUCAGCAUGACUUGAAGAAUGCUGAUCUCUCACACCUUAACUUGAGUGGAAAUUUUCCAAAUUGGUUGGUAGAUAACAAUACGAACUUAGAGACGCUUCUUCUUGCCAACAACUCUCUUUUUGGAUCAUUUCGGAUGCCAAUUCAUUCCCACCAAAAAUUGGCAAAAUUGGAUGUCUCCAACAAUUUCUUUCAAGGCCAUAUUCCGGUGGAAAUCGAAACAUAUCUGCCAGUCUUAAUGGGUUUAAACUUAUCUAGAAAUGCUUUCAACGGUAGUAUUCCCUCUUCAUUUGCUGAUAUGAAAAUGUUGGAAAGGUUGGACAUAUCCUACAAUCAGUUGACUGGUGAAAUCCCUGAGCGCAUGGCCACGGGUUGCUUCUCAUUGGAAAUUCUUGCAUUGUCAAACAACAGUUUGCAAGGUCAUAUAUUCUCUAAAAAAUUUAACUUGACAAAUUUAUUAAGGUUGCAGUUGGAUGGUAAUAAUUUCAUUGGAGAGAUCCCAGAAAGCUUAUCUAAGUGCCGUUUGUUAGGAGGAUUAUAUCUGAGUGAUAAUCAUCUCACUGGUGAGAUUCCAAGAUGGUUGGGUAAUUUGUCAUUUUUACAAGAUAUUAUAAUGCCCAAUAACAAUCUUGAAGGGCCAAUUCCAAUCGAGUUUUGUCAGCUUGAUUCUCUGAAGAUUUUAGACCUUUCAAACAAUAGUAUUUUUGGAACUUUACCAUCUUGUUUUAGUCCAGCAUCUAUCGAACAAGUUCAUUUGUCGAAAAACAAGAUAGAAGGACGGUUGGAAAGUAUAAUCCAUGACAGCCCCAAUUUGGUGACAUUAGAUCUCAGUUAUAACCGCUUACACGGAAGUAUUCCAAAUCGGAUUGACAGACUACCUCUGUUAAGCUACCUUCUUUUAGCUAAUAAUUAUAUUGAAGGCAAAAUACCAGUUCAAUUAUGCCAGUUGAAGGAAGUGCGGUUGAUUGAUCUUUCUCAUAAUAAUCUAUCUGGUCAUAUUCCUCCUUGCUUGGUUAACACUUCACUCAGUGAAGGUCAUCAUGAGGCAAUAGCUCCAACUUCUAGUUCGCGGGAUCAAGCGUCUGCCUCUGUACUUCCAUCUGAGGCUCCAAAUGGAUCUCCGAUGGGAAAGGAAGAAACUGUACAGUUCACAACAAAGAAUAUGUCCUACUAUUAUCAAGGAAGAAUUUUGACGAGUAUGUCUGGGAUUGAUCUUUCUUGUAACAAACUGAUAGGUGAGAUUCCUCCUCAAAUUGGAUAUCUUACAAGGAUUCAUGCGCUAAAUCUAUCUCAUAACAAUUUGACGGGCACAAUCCCGACAACAUUUUCAAACCUGAAGCAAAUCGAAAGCUUGGACCUCUCCUACAACCUAUUGCAUGGGAAAAUCCCUUCUCAGCUCACUGUGCUAACUACAUUGGCGGCCUUCAGAGUAGCAUACAAUAACUUAUCAGGCAAAAUUCCGGAUAGAGUUGCACAAUUUUCAACUUUCGAGGAAGAUAGCUAUGAGGGGAAUCCUUUUCUUUGUGGAUGGCCACUGUCUAAAAGUUGCGAUGAUAAUGGAUUAACAACAGUGACAACAGAAGCUUACACUGAAAAUGAAGAAGUUGAUAGUUUAAUUGACAUGGACAGUUUCCUGAUCACUUUUACAGUAUCUUAUGGAAUUGUGAUAUUAGGAAUUAUUGGAGUUUUGUACGUAAACCCCUAUUGGCGGCGAAGUUGGUUUUACCUUGUUGAAGUAUGUAUGACCUCUUGCUACUAUUUUGCAGCAGACAAUCUUGUUCCUAGAAAAUUCUAUGGUGGAUGGAUGUAAUUUCAUUACAUUACAACUUAUAUGUAAUUUUCAAAGAAUUUUCUUUUGCAUGCAUGGAAUAGCAACUCAAUAAAAGUAUUUGAUGCAAAUUGUCCAAGAACAACUUAGUAAUUUCAUUGCUACUAUUCGGUUGUAUGUAUACAGUUAAUGAAAUUUUUAACCAUUCGCAGAAUACCCUUAGGAAUUUCUUUAGAUGGCGGCAAAAAACUAAGAGAUUCGGGGCUCUACACGGUCUGAAUGAAGAUUAACUUAAUGCCCUCAGGAUUAUGUGUAAGUUCUCUUUUAAAUUUAAGGGGUUGAGAUUUCAGGUCCGGAUGAAAGUUGAAUGCAGGUGACGAGACUUCACUGGGACAAACUUAAAAUAAAAAAUUAUAGUCCACAGUAAGAGCAAUGGGUAGCUUAACUUAUGGAAGAUAACUAGAACUUGGAAUAACUUAAAUUAGCUAUAAAAUUAAGACCAUUAUACAACUAAAAAGAAAGAAAAAUUGUUUGCUACUACAUAUCAAAACUAGUAAUAGCAAUGAAAGAUGGCAGACUUCUUACUUAAACAGAUGAGAGGCUACAAAUAAAAAAUUUGUGCAAAUAAAUAUAUGAUAAAGAGCAUAAUACUUUCUUGGGGGCUAAAAAUAAUAUACAACUUGUGAAAUAUAAAUUGAGCUACCGUUACCUUUUAGAUGUGGCAACUUUCGACUUUUGAGGCACUUUGGAAUAUGCAUUCAGAAUCCUGCAUUUGGAAGCCAAAUAAAUAAUGUUAAUAACAAUUUUACAAUAGAAAAAUUAAAAAUUGAUAAAUGGCAGUUGUAAUUUAUGUAUGUGUAAAGAUAGCAUCACAUCCAGGGUCCUCCCAUAAACAUGCUUGUAACAAGAAUUAGUUUGCCUCAACUGCUAGCAACUAUACAAUAGUAAAAAUCACUCUUAUGAACUCAACAAUACUAGGCACCAAUAAGAGUAUGAUACAGCCAUUCUAAAUGGAAGAGAAUACAACUGUUUUACAACUAUGUUGCAUCAGGAGAUAUGUUAGGAGUUUUAAUCCAGAUACCUUCCAACCCAAUUAGGAAAACUCGAGUCAGAAACCAGGAGCUGCAACCGAACCUUACAAUCUUGAAGGAAGAAGGAGACUUGGGGCAUUUUUCUAGAUAGGUGACUUACUAGAUCUACUGCCAAGAAAAUAUCUAUUGCUUUGAACCUCCAUUGAAAUUUCUUUUCCCUUUUUCUUAUUUUGACUUGGAACUUUCCAGCAUCAUCUAUUUGAUCUUUUUUAAAGCUAAAAUAGCAAUCUACGGGUUGUCAACAUCUUAUCCCCCCCCCCCCCCCCCGAGGGGCCCCCAAAAAAAAAAACAUCAAUGAGUUGUCAAUAAAUAGCGCCUACUCAACUUAUGUUCUCCAAUGGAUGACAAUGUGCAAAUCGACCUAGCAGCCACAUUUUUCCCCCCUUUCAACCACCAUUAGGCAACUUUUCUAACCUUUCUUCAUUGCCCACGUCUACAGAACUAUCAUAUAAAGACUACAAGAUAGACGCACGGUAUCUAAAUAAUUGUACCAACCCCCUCUCCUGAUUGUCAUAAAACGGCCAAUAUUUAACGCUCGACAACAAAAUUGCAAAUACUCUAGCCUCUAUAUUAUUGGCAUAUAAAUAUUUUCGGUUAGGUACAUUAUAUUCUUCGUUCUAAAACCUCAAUUAUUAGCUAGUACUGUGAUAAAAUGAUUCAUCACUGAAAUUAAAACUAGUUCACGUACAAAUAAUCAAAACUGAAAUAGAAGCAACGAUAAACCAACCUGUAUUACGUCGAUUCAUCACAACAAACUGAAAUCGAGGCUGUGUGUUCCUGAAAAUUGAAAAAAAUAAUAAUUUCACCAACUUCAUAUGUAAUACAAUCUCCAAAACACUGAAUAUCAAAUGAAAAAAUGGAAAGCAUAAGAUAGAAAAGAAUCUAAUUUUAUUGACCUUUUGACGACGACGAGAGAGCCUUCAACAUCCUUACGACUCCAUUGGCUGAGGUCGAUGUUGAACUCGUAGAAGGUGACAUGAGCGGCCGUGAUGAGGAUCUCCUCAAUGAAUGGAUCGAUUCGCUGAAGAACUGUCAGGUUCAGGAGUUUUGUGCUCUGCUGGUCCAGAUUAAGCAUCAAUUUUCCGUUAUGCGACAUUUUUCAUAGUCGUUUUGGGCUCUGCCCCGAGCACAAGCCCCAGGGUUUUUCUGUGAGCUCUCUCUUUUGUAAAUAAAGUGUUUGAUGAGAUAGCCGAGAGAGAGUGAAAGUGUUGAACAGCCAAACACGGUCUCGAGAUUGAUC